AUACUUAACAUCUCUCUUGAUGAGCCUCUCCAGAGCUUCAUUGGCAUAAUCAAUCGGUAUCACUUCAAUAUUUGGGUAUAUCUUCUGCGCUGCACAUAGGUCUAUCAUUUCUUGGGUAUCCUUUGUUCCUCCCGUUAGGCUACCUGAAACAGUUCUCAUAUCUGCCAAACGUUCACCACGAGCAACUUAGUUCACCUAUCAGGUAUGAAAUUUCAUUUAGUAAUCAGAUUUGAGAACAAAAACAUACGGUGGUUAAGGCUGGCUGGACUAAAUUUAACUUCGCUCGAGCCGACCAAUGCUAGAAUGCCACCCGUCUUCAAAACAGACAUGUAAGGAUCAAAUGGGUGAUUGCCGGCUGCCGUGUCGAUUAUAAAGUCUAGGGACUUAGCAAUGGCCUGCGUGCAUUGGAUUUAUCAGAUCACAACAGAAUUUGACCACCAUGGAUCUCAAUGUGGAUAAUUCUAGUUUUUCCUUUUUUUACCUUCAUCUGCUCUACGUCAGAUGAGAUAACGAAAUGGUCAGCCCCAAGCAGGCUCAGUGCUUCCUCCUUUUUAGAAAUGCUUGUACUGAACACUGUGACUUUUAGUCCAAAAGCCUUCCCAAACUUAACUGCCAUAUGACCGAGCCCGCCAAGUCCAAUUACACCUAGAGACUUACCGGGUUGGUUCAUCUUGUGACGUAUCAUUGGAGUGUACACCGUGAUUCCAGCACAGAGCAGUGGCGCUGCUAGAUCCAUCGGGUAGUUUUCUGGAAUCCUGAAGCAAUACCUGUCAAUGAAGCACCACAAUUAAGUUUCCAAAUAACACCAAGAGAGGAAGUGAUUUCCCAAUAGAAUCAGCAUCCUGUCUUUUUUGUCUAAAAGGAAUCAAAUCACAGAGCCAGAAAUCCUAUCUUCCGCAUGCUUGGGAAUGUUACUUGCUUAGACCACAAUUCAGCAUCAUGUUGUUUCCGUGAUCCUUGUUCUGACCACAAAUUGCUCAAGACAAACAUUUCUUGCUGUAGCAACGAAAAUAACUCGAUUAAAAUUAAGAAAAGACACUUGCUCUAAGAAAGGAAACUGGUGGCAUAUCACAUAUGCUUGACUGAACACGUAAUUUCUCUAUUUCUUUCAAUCAAUUCCUCCGAAGGACUCAAGAUUCCUGUGGCUCUAUCAGAUACAAGAAUUAGUGAAAGCACAUACAUUUAGCUACCCAUUUGAUCUUAUACUUAUGAUCUAACUUUAACAAUCUAAGGACAGCUUAUUCCAUUCUUGACAAUGGUUAUUGAAAAGAAAGAAUUUCUUUUUGCAUUUAAUAAAGCCAAUUCUCCAUUGAAUGGUCUGAAUGGUAAUUGGAUACAGAGGACUUAAAGACCCUCCAGAGCCGUUAUAGAAAGUAUCUUUAUCCUUUUCCACAAGAUGCAUUAUGCUACUUCUGGUCACAAUCAGAAUACGAAGAAAAUUAGCAGAGAAGAAGACAUGACAUGAAAUCUUUUUUUGGCCACCAUGAUUUGAAAUUCUUUCACAGUGCAAAAUGCUGCCUAAUAACAUUGUGUUAAUAAGCAAUUACCUUUCAUGGACGACAAUGUGACUAGAAUAUCCUCCCUUUGUCACUGUACCGUCCGUAUCGAUUCGGUCAAAAGUCAAAACCAUCUUUUCACAAUGGACUUCUAGCCCGUCAUUGCAAUACUCGCACUCUCUGCAUGAAUUGACAUAAGUUCCCACACCCACAUGAUCGCCAACUUUGAAGCGUUGGACACUGGAGCCAACCUGUUUCACAAUUCCAACUAUCUCGUGCCUGAAUCAAUCAAAAAAGUCAUUCGCAAAUUUUGUUCAGAGAAUUAUUAGGAUGGUGCUAAGAAAAAAGAUUAACAUUCGAAUCACGCUGCAUCCUACCCUGGCACCAGAGGAUACUUGGAGGUUCCCGACAUAUUCCUAGUCCAAGCCACAUCUGCAUAGCACACUCCGCAGUGCGUGAUCCUAAUCGAGACGUCAUCGCUUCCCACGGUCCUAAAGAGAGAAUUCCCAAACAGAUGAGCAUCUAAUCAAGCAACUAAUCAGACUCAGUUACCUUUUGUUCUCAUUUUUCAGAUCAAUAAACUAAGCGUGACUUACAAUAAUCAUACAUUCAACCCAAAAAAAAAUUUAAGAAAAGAGAAAUGAAAAGGAACCAAAUCCAUGACUAUAGGCAUUUGUCUGAAUAGUACAUACAACCUCAAAUGCUCACAAAGGCAGCACCCGAAUCCUAAUGUCUGCCAUGAAGUUCUAAGCAACUCAUUCUGGGACAUGACAUAUCAUGCGUACAAACAAUUCUCUACCCAGAAAUUAGUGCAUACACAACAAAAUUUAUAAAAGAAAAACGAAAUGGUUUGGUCAAUGUGGAAAUUUAAAUAUAUGACAAGCAUCAAAAACUGUUUUGCAUUACAGGUGAGAGGAUAAGACCUGAGAACACUGUAUUGAGACUUAUUCAGACAAAUACUUCAAUAGAAAUUGAAAGUAUAAGGAGCAGAUGAAUUAAAUAAAGAACAGUGGUAACAGUAAUACCUGCGGCUGAAUUUGUAGGGGGAGAGACGUCCAGAAGGAUCUCUGGCAGCCCAACCAAGACAAUCUUCCUUCGCACCCUCUGAACUCAUCGUUCCUCACCGACCUCAACUGAAAUCGACCCACAAAAAAAUUGCUGUGUUAAUCUCUCAAUAAGCUGAAUUAUGGAAGAAGAAGAAGAAUUAUUUUCGUGAAAGAGAAAUGAAGAGAAAAUCAAACCGGAAAACAGAAGUUCAAAUGGUCAAAAGGCCAAAUGUCACGAAGACUUGGCAAUUCCGUUUCCGUGCAGACAAGAUUUUGCGGUCUGACUUUUGAGCAAAGAGCGAGAUUAGCAGAGAGCGAGGUUGAGCGCUCAAAAACCGUCACCUCUUUAUAGAUGCCAUAGCGUCGCCUGUUCUUGAUUUUUUUUUUCGUUUUAUCUUGUGGAAAAGAAUUAGUGCCAAACGUAAGCCAUUACCCUUCACUAGCCAAUGAAGUAUGCAGUGACGUCUUCUGGAGUACGGUUCUUGGUAUUUUUAUUUAUCCUCCCAAUAACAAUUGCAUUAUUAAUUUAUUCACACAUUAAAUAUGUCAAUAGGCAACAUGUUGACGCAUAAAAUAUGUCAUGAUCCUCUAGUGGUAUGUAUUCGAUUCAUCUAUUUUAAGAAUAUUCACCUUCAUCUAUUUUAAGAAUAUUCACCUUCUUCAAAGAUAGUGUUAGUAUAUGCGGAAACAUGUGUUUGAUAUGUAUGCAAGCAAAAGAACUAAGGGACAAUGUGAGCAAGAAAUAGUGGGACAAAGUAAUAAUAGGAAUGUGUAAAAGAGAAUGAGGCUGAGGCGGUGAAGGAGAGAAACUUGAAUGGAAGUCAACAAUAGUGGCUGAAGAAGAAACUAGUAUGUGGACAGCAAGAGUACUUGGAGAAGAAGAAAAUGAGUUGUCAGCUGUACUAUGGCCUAUGGCGGUGAAAAAGUCAAAAAUGUCAUGCUUGAAGUCGGUUGUAAUUGCCUAUAAAUAGGCUUGUCGUUCAUUUAUUUGGUGUGUGUGAGGUGAACCCUUCACCUUGUGUGGGGGUGAACCCUCCACUGUGAGAGGUCUUAAACCUCCGCUAGGACCAUAUGGAGAGUGACUAUUCAACACCUCCAUCAAAUUAUUUUGUCUUCUUCAAUAAGUUCUUGACAGCUGGAGUUUGAUGAAGAAACUUUGCUUCAUGCUUUCCGCUACUUGCUAUUUCCGAUGCACGUAGACUUCUCUAGCCUAUUCUAGGAUUUCUUCUUCAACUUGGGGUUUGCUUGCUUGUAUUCCCAUGUGAAUCUUCUAGGUUCAGCUAGCAACCACCAUUCUCAACAAUUCUAGACAAUCUUCAACAUGGAUGUUGCUACCAACGUUCUCGCCUUCAUGAUUAAGUUAAUAGUUUCUAAACAGUUUUAGAGAAAAUGGAUCAUAAUUUUCAACAUAUAGUAUUUUGGAGAGAAAAGUAUUUCAGCAGAAUUGUUCAAGGAUUUACAGAUCACUACAAUAUCACCGGAAGCAAAUAAUUAUCCAUCAUUGACAUGAACGAUAUAGCAAAAAUUCUUUUACUUGUUUACCUUAAGUUUAGCAAGAUCUGCUUAAACGACAACCUUGAGUAUCUUCAAUUCCCUUUCUCUUGCCUUCAAAAAGAUAUUGAAAUGCAACGCAGAAUCAAGACAGAUUGUCAUUAACAAAGCUGUAAAAGCCUACUCAAUCUGGCAAAAUUGGGGACAGUGUUUUCCAGCGAUCUUGACUACCUCGGUAGCUGCUGUGCAAAUGGAUAGGAAUGCAUGCAGAGGGACAAGCUGAUUGUUACCUACUUUUAGUCAUUCAUUUGAAACUGUAAGAUUCAUGUGCCAUAAGAUAGCCAAACAAGCGGGCAAAAAAUGAUGUGCCUUGCACCGAAGGUGGCAAGAGCAAUUAGAUUAAAUUCAAACCAAAAAAAGCUUGAUGCAUAAAAUGAAAAGUCAUCCAUUGAGCAAAAAAGGGUGCGUUUGGUAAGGUUUCUGUUUAAAAAUUGUUUCUGGGAACAUAAAUAAAAAAAAGUGUUUCUGUUCCAAGGAACAAGUUUUGAACAAAAAAACGCAUUUGGUAAAUCUGUUCUAGAAAUAUAAAAAAAAUAGAAACACGUUUGGUAAGUUUGUAUAUUUUUUUUUAUUUCUUUUAAUUUUUAAUAUUUUUAUUUUUAUUUUCUAUUUUCUUUCUUAUUUUUCUUAUUUAUUUUUCCUUUUUUUCUUAUUUAUUUUUCCUUUUUCCUUUUUUCUUCUUUUGGCCGGUCGCCGGCCUCGGCCAUGGCCGACGACCAGCCGACAAGGGCCGGCGGCCUCACCCAGCCAUGGCGAGGCUCGCCGGCCGCUGGGCGAGCUCGGCCUCGCUAGAUCUGGGCGAGAUCGAGCUCGCCCAGCCAGGCGCGAGGUCGGCCUCGCCGCGCUGUGCCGACGGUGACCCAGAGCCACACCAUCGUCUCCCUCCACCGCAUCGGUGACCGCGCUCGACGCCUCCUCGCCGCCACCGGAUCGGCGACCACCCCUCCGCCUCACGCCCGAUUGACGCAUCUGCAGGUCUCGAGCCUUCGUUCACCACCGCCACAUCAGAUCUCACCACGCCGUGACCCACGGCUUCGAGAUCCGCUCGAUCGUCGACCCCGCGCCGGCCCACGACUCGACCGGCCGUCCUCGCCGCUCCGCUCCUAGACGUCCGCCGCUCGAGACCCCACGGCCGAGCCCCGCACCGCAGCCGCCGCCGCCGCCCAGCGACCCGCGACCCAGCUCCGUCACCCGCUCACAGGUGGAGAUGCUCGCAGCGGCUGUCGGCGCCGGAGAGGACGACGGUGGAGAAGCCGGAUGGUCUCGAGACAGAGGCGGCUGUCGGCGCCGGAGAAGACGACGGUGGAGACACUUGCAGAAGGAGAGGCUCGCAGGAGAACACGAUUUUGUUUCUUUUUUGUUCUUCAAAUAUGUUUCAGAAAUAAGAAAUAAGAAAUUCUUGUUUCUUAUUUUUGUUUGUUUCUUAUUUUUGUUCCCUUUUUGUUUCUAGGAACAAAAAAACAAAAAAGAAACAGAAAUGCACCCAAACGCGUUUCUGUUCCUUUUUUGUUCCCAGAAACAAAAAAAUAGAAAUUUUUGUUCGUGGGAACAGAAACACGGUGCAAACAAACGCGCCCUAAAUGACAAAGUAAGUGCAAUGAGAGUCAUUGAUGUUCACGCCAAACGUAUGCCAUGACCAUUCCUUAGCCGAGAGAAUGUAAGCAGCGACAUCUUCUAGAUAGUGGUUACUGGCAAUUUUUUUUUUUUUUAUCCCCGGCCUGAUCAAAUUAUCCGAGUUAUAAACUCAGAAAGAAGUUAAUGAGCAAUCUACCGCUAGGACCUAUGAAGGGUCAUAUGUUGUUGGUUACACAUCGUGUUGGAAUAUAAUAUACGGAAAUGAAAAGAUCUUGCAAUUUACGUCAACGUGCAAACUCCAGAAAAAUAAAUGAGAAAUAAUAAGAACACCAUAACUUUACGUGAUUCGGUCCGAGUAUUAGUACCUACAUUCACGGGAGAGUUAGCAACAAAUAACCCACUAUAAUAAAAAAAUCAGAGUUUACAAUCGCUCACAUGCUUGAGUAUUUUCUACACCUAGAUUUCAACUCAAGAGUUUAUAAAUAAACAACUCAUUUUAACAUAAAUUCACGACAUAAAAUUACCACUCGUUCAAAAACAAAAUGCUCUACGUACGCCAAAAACAAGAAUUCCAGCAUUUAUCUUUUGGUUCGCGUAGAUACGGAUUUGUGUUCUUCUUUGCUUGAUCGUGCGGCGCUAUUCUAGACGUUCCUUUUGGCUCUUUCUUCUUCGUAGGGCUUCAGUAACUUUUUCUAUAAAAAAAAAAAAGGACGUUCUAUUUUAUAUAUGUGCCUAGAGUCAACAACUUUGACUCUGGGCCCACCAUGUGCUUCUUUCUUCAGUGGGAAGUGGGACGCUGCAGGUAAGGCGAAGAAACCUUCCUUUUAUUCAUUUUUCUUCAUAUUUCCUUUAUUUUAUGGGAUAUGUUUGGCAGAAGUCCUAAAACUUGUCCAGAAAGUGCAAUUGAGUCCUAAAACUUACAAAAAGUUCAAUCAAGUCCUAAAACUUGUCAAAUUGGUUCAAUUGAGUCCUAAAGUUAACACCGUUAAGAAAAUUAACAGAAAUUGCUGACGUGGCGCUGACGUCAUAUUUUAAAUGAUCUUUUUUAUUUUUCAAAUAGCUUUUUUAAAUUAUUUUUAUUCAAAAUCUUUAAAAAUUAGAUUAAAAACUAAAAAGGAAAAUCUAAAUUUAUUAAAAAAACAAAAUUGUUCAAAAAAAAAAAAAGAAAAAAGGGCGGUGGACUUUCGCCGCUGCCCAUCGCCGAAGGGGCCGGCGAUCGUCGCCGGCCCUGGGCGGGGGCGAUGGUCGCCAUCCCUUGCCUGGGGCCGAGCAACCGUCGCCCGCCUUGGGCGAGGCCUCGUCGGCCCUCGCUUGGGGUCGGCGAGGCUCGCUAGAUCUGGGCGAGCCUCGCCCUCGCCAGCCACCCCUGCCCAGGGCCGACAACUGUCGCUCGGCCCCUUCGGCGAUGGGCGGCGGCGGCGGCGGCGGCGGCAGCGGCGGCGGGGAGAAGAGGGCUGCUUUUUUUUAAAACAAUUUUAAAAAUAACUUUUAUAACUUUUCUUUUUAAUUUUUAGAUAAAAUGAAUAAAUUUAAUUUUUUAGUUUUAAUUCUUUUUUUAAAAAUGAAUAAAAAUCAUUAAAAAAAUCCACGUGGAAAAUAAAAAAUAAUUAAAAAUGAUACGUCAGCAUUUUUAACAGAAAAAGCUAACGGUGUUAACUUUAGGACUUAAUUGAACUAACUUGACAAGUUUUAGGACUUGAUUGAACUUUUUGUAAUUUUAGGACUCAAUUGCACUUUUUGGACAAGUUUUAGGACUUCUGCUGAACAUAUCCCUUAUUUUAUAUAUGUUGUGUGCCUAAAGUCAAGACUUUUGACUUUGGGCCCACAUAAAUAACCUUGUUUGGCUCCCGUAGAUAAAGAAGAAACUUUGUUCUUUUUAUUAUUAUUAUAUUUUCUUUCCUCUUUCGUAAACCUUCACAAAGUCCAACAAAGCUUCUUCUAUUGAUCGAAACAAUCAAAGACCCAAAAAGAAUUUCGAAUUUAUUUUCUUGUGCAUAAUCUUGAAUAUUAUCUUUAUCAGAAAAAUAUCUUCACGAUCAAAUAAUAAAAUUUUUAUCCAAGCGGAUCGCAUUUUGCAAAUACUCAAACUCGAGACAUAAUUUAACACAUCCGACAUGAUAUACUGCCCAAUUACUAUCCUCUGACAAUUUAUAUUUGAUUAAUCUAAUUCAAGAAUAUUCAUUUGUUAGACUUGUUGGCUUACACGCCACUGUCACGUGAUAUAUCCUAUAUUGAGAAUACUCAAUGAGCUUUGACUCUAGAUACUUGGGAGCAUCUAUGCUUGUUUUAUGUAUGUUAUGCUUGUGAUGCAUCUUGUUUUGAGUGGACUGUAGAAAUAUUUAAGUUCGUGCCAAUUUGACUAAUUUUUUAUCUGGAUAAGUGCAUUGGAAGAUUUAAAACUUAUCAUAAAAAUACAAUUAAGCCAUGAAACUUUGAAAUCAAGUUCUAGAACUUGUCACAUUGGUCUAAUCUAAAUCCUACCAUUGCAUUUUUGAAAAUUUCGGUACUUAACUGCAAUUUUCUAACAAGUUUUAGUAUUUCCAAUAUACUUUUUUUUUUUCAACCUCAGUAAUGUUUUUAAGCAACAAUGAGCUUGACAUAUCUCUGUUUUCGGAAUUUCAGUGGCUAUAGGAAACAAAAGGACGUCCUCUAAUGAAUCAACAAUCUUCUGCCAUGACAAAGCUGGAAGAGAGAUGAGUGUCUUCCAUAGUUAUAAAAAAUGUUCAUGCAAUAAUCUGUAGGAAUUCGUCUUCCUGACGUGCAUGAACAUUUCCGGCCAUGAAACAUUUCACGGUGAAGACAUUCUGUCACUUAAACCGGCAAAAGGAUAUCGAGCUUGUUCUUUUGGCGAGUGUAUUGCCGUCAAAUAUGCCUGAUUAAUUCCACGACUAUUAGCAUUUGUUUAAAUAGAGCAUACAACCUAAAAUGCUCACAAAGGUAGCUGGUACUGGAUCCUCAUGUCUGCCCAUGAAAUUCUGAGUGCCUCAGACAUGGCAUAUCAGGCACACAAACAAUUCUCAACCCAGAAAUUAGUACGUACACAACAAAAGUUUAAAAAAAAAAAAAUUGGUUUGGUUAAUGUGGAAAUUUAACAUCAUGACAAGCAUAAAAAACUGUUCAGCAGUACAGUAGAGAGGUCAAGACCUGAGAACACUGUAUUGAGACUUAUUCAGAUGAACACUUCAGAUAGUCACUGAAAAGCUAAGGAGCAGAUGAAUUGAAUAAAGAACAAUGGCGAUGAUAAUACCUGCGGCUGAAUUUGUAGGGGGAGAGAAGUCCUAGAAACCGUCAUAGAUGCCAUAGCGAUGGAUGUUCACGAUUAAUCUUUGAGCUUACUAUUGUGGAAAAGUAUUAGUGAUUCGCCAAACGUAACCCAUGACCCUUCCUUAACCAAAGAACGCAUGCAAUGACAUCUUCUGGAGAGCGGCUCCUGGAAUUUUUCCAUCCACAACCUAAUUGCAUUAUCAACCUACUGACACAUAAAAGAUGUCAAUAGGCAAUGUGCUGUUGCACCACUGGACCCGCAAAUGGUCAUCAAUGUCGGUUAUACCGCCAAUAAUUUGUACCUGACCCUUCAUAGUCGUAUUAUUCGAUUAAUCUAUUUAAAGAACAUUCAUUUUCUUCAAACAUGCUUUCUCACGUGCCACUGUAAUAUGAUGUUUUUGAUACACAAAAUACUAUCUCUUCAAGAGCUUUGACUCCUAUAUACUUGGGACAUUAAAUUGUUUUAGCAACAAUGAGCUUGGGAUAUCUCUGUUUUCGGGAUUUCAGUUGCUAAGGGAAACAAAAAGGACGUCCUCUAAUGAAUCGACGGUAUUUUGCUAUAACAAACCUGGAAGAGAGAUGAGCGUCUUACAUAAUUACAAAAAAAUGAUCACGCAAUAGUUGGUAGAAAUUUACUCUGCUGACGUGCAUGAACAUUCUGAACAAAAAACGGAAAACAUGCAUGAACAUUUCCGGCCAGGAAGCAUUCACGAGGAGCUGAGAGACACUCUAUUUCUUAAAGCAGCAAAAUGAUUACGAGCUUGUUCUUUUGGUGAGUGGAAUGAAUAAAUUGUUCAAAAAAUCCUAAACUUAUUGUCCGACCACUAAUUUAAUUCUAAACGUUUUAAUUUGAUCAAUGUUGUCUAAAACUUUUGACAAUUUUUUGUAGUCCACCUAGUUAAAUUUAGGUCGAAAAUCAGUGAUGAAGCAAUUUAGUAAACACUAGCUGUUUUAAGUGAUACAACCGAUAGCUGAUAUAGAUGAUCUUAAAUGAUGUGGCGUCGUUUCACAAUUUUUUAAUAUUCUUUCUUUUUCUUUUUUAGUAAUUUUUUUUCCUAUUCUUUCGUUCUCUAGUGUUCAUUUUCUUCCCUCUGCCGGUGGCCGAUGCCUCAGCAAUGACCGGCGACCAUCAUAGGCUACAAGUGAGGGCAUUGAGCGAGACUUGCAAGCCUUCUCCUAGAUUUGGGCAAGGGCCCUAUAGGCCCUCAUUGGCCGUAGGCAAGGUUGGGGACUUGCAAGCCCUUGCCUAGAUCUACCCUCUAAUGGGGUCAAUGCCUGCCAUCACCAAAGCCUCAAUGUCUUGCUCUGGAAAGAAAAUGAACAGCAGAGAAGGAGACAAUAGGAAAAGAAAGAAAAAAGAAAAAGAGAGGAAAGGAAAAAGGGAAAAAAUCUGAAAAUAAUAACAAAAAAUUGCAAAAUGACGUUGUUUCAUUUAAGAUCAUCCAUGUCAAUUGCCAAUCAUGCAACGUGGCCUACCUUGUUGGAUGUAGUAGAUUUAGGAUAUUUUGAAUAUUUUUCUCCUAUUAAAUAUGCCCGGUUUAUUUGAUAUCCUAAAAUUUGUCAACUUUGUGAAAUCAAGUUCUAAAAUUUGUUGGCACUCUUUUCAUAUUGGAUGAAGUUAAUGAAAUGACUUGAUUACAACUACUUGGUAAGUUUUAUGACUUGAUUGUAAUUUUUGAAAAUUGUCGGACUCAAUUGCAUCUCUAUAAUAAGUUUUAAAACUUGAUUACGCUAUCUAAAAAUUUUAAGAUUUUCAAUAUACUUAUCCCUAAAAUAAAAUAAAAAGGGCCUACCCCCUUUACAUGAACUCUUUAAUUUAAACGCACCAUGGAAUUUCCUGUCCUUUUACACAAUUUCAUUAACUAAGAUUUUAUUUUAUUUUUUGGGUUAAAACCAAGAUUUAGUUCUUCUUCUUCUUUUUUUUCGGACCAGCCAAGAUUUAGUUCAAAGAUAGAUAUUUUGAGGAGAAAAAAAUUUCAGCAAACUAUGCAAGGAUUUGCAAAAGAUCGCAACAAUAUUACCGGAAGCAUAUAAUUAUUUAUCACUGACGAAUGAUAUAGUAAAAAUUCUUUUAGAAGUUUACCUUAAGUUUAGCAAGAUCUGCUUAUUCGGCAGCCUUGAGUUUCUUCGAUUCCUUCUCUCUUGCCUUCAAACAGAUAUAGAAAUGGCAACGCAGAAUAUCAAGAUAGAUUGCCAUUGACAAAGCUGUAAAAGCCUACUCAAUCGAGCAAAACUGGGACAGUUUUUCCAGCAAUCUUGACCACCUCCGUAGCAUGCCGUGGAAAUAGAUAGGAACACAUGUAGAGGGACAAGCUGAUUAUCACUUGCUUUUAGUCAAGCAUUCGAAACUUUGAGAUUCAUGCACUAUAAGAUAGCUAGACAAGCAAAAAAAAUGAUGGGCAUUUCAGUUGAGGUGUCAAGAGCAAUUAGAUUGAAUUCAAACCAAAUAAAGCUUGACGCAGAAAAGAGAAAUGUUGUGCAUUGAGCGAAUAUAUGACAAAAUAAGUGCAAAGAGAGUCAAUGAUGUUCUAGCGCUUUGGCCAAUUGAGUUCUUAAAAUUUUACUUUGCUUAAUUGAAUCCUCGGCCUUUUCAAUUUCAGUCAAUUGAGUCCCUCAACCUUGAUCCUCGGAAAUAGUCACAUGGCUAUGAUUUUCCAAGUUGAUAAGAAGAUGCUCGAGAAGAAAACCGGGUAGGAGGUGAAAUGGGACCUAAGUGCAAGUUUUACUAUUUCAGUAACUACAAUUGAUCUGACAGAAGGUUGAACUUUCAUGGAUCUGGCACUUCGUUUGAAGCUAUACAAACAGAAAUCAGCGGGCUCAAGAAGCCAAUCUUUUAGACAGUUUCUGAAUUAUCACACAGAAAAGCACUAGGAUAUCUUUACACAUUCACUUAUUAUAUCCUCUAUAAACUAACAGUUAUUAGAGUAUAUUAGGCAUCAUUUAUUUGUAGUACAUUAGGUACAGAUGUCCUCUCUCUGAAAUUCCCUCUUUUCCUCUUCUUACGAUUAGCUUUGCCAGAAGAUGUUUCCAACUUCCGACAUUGAUGAUGUCAUUUCAAGGAGUUCUCAAUGUUUAUCACAAAUCGGUACUUAACAUCUCUCUUGAUGAGCCCCUCAAGGGCUUCAUUGGCAUAAUCGAUCAGUAUCACUUCGAUUUCUUGGUGUAUGUGCUGUGGCGCACAGAGGUCUAUCAUUUCUUGGAUAUACUUCAUUCCUCCAGUAGCGCUACCCAAAACUGUUUUCAUACCUGCAAAAAGUUCAUUGUGAGCAACUUAGUUGGCUUGCCUAUCAGGUAUCAAUAUUUCAUUCGGUAAUGAGCUUUGAGAAUAAAAACAUACCAAGGUUAAGGGAGGAAGUACACUAAUGGUGCCAUAAGUUAUGUACGGCGCUCACUUUGGUGUCAAAAAUUUUUGUCGGAUCACUUAAGUGCCAAAAAUUUUGAAAAACGAUCACUUUGGUGCCAUCGUCGAUUUGGUUGGUCGGAAAUCUGACGUGACAAUUUUUUAUUAAUUUUUUAUGCCGACGUGGAUCGUCGGAUAAUACAAUCAACAAACAAAGAACAAAACGAUGCCGUUUACCAUUUUCCCCCAAAUAAAAACCCCUAAAUCCCUAAUUUCGACUAGAACUGGAAGUUGAAAACCCUAAAUCCCCAAUUCGACCAUUUCGAGUGCAUAUUUCGAUUUUCUGCCAAAGUUAUCAACUUGCUUUUGCAAAUGGAGGACAAAAGUUUCAACAGUGGCUCGCAUUCCUAUAAGAAAAGCGAAUUAGAUGGUGAGUGUUACUGUUAUUGUGGGUUACCGAGUCCGAGAAGAAUAUCUUGGACUUGGUUGAAUCCCGGGAGAAGAUUCCAUGGGUGCGGCAGAUAUAGAGAAAGCUCGAAGUGCCAUUAUUUCAAAUGGGUUGAUAGGAAAUUCUCUAAUCGAGCGACAUAUGUGAUAUUGGAGUUACUUGAAGGCCAAAAUCAACCUCCAUCUAUGUUAAUGGACGAGCUGGGGGAUGUCGACUCAAUACAAGCUCAAAUGAAGGGUUUAACAUCUCUGAUGGACCAUUUGAAGAGAGAGGUUUCAAGGCUGAAAAUUGAAAGAAACUUUAUCGAGCGUUGAUUGUAUUCUUAUUCUCUUGGGUAGUUUAUUCAAAUGUAAAGUGAGUAAUGAGAAGAAAUUUGUAUGUCUACCAUAGUCGAAGACGUGGAAUAUGCACUUGUAUUGGAUUAUUUAUAAGUAAAAUGUGUUUUUUGGUUUGUUGCAAUUUUUAUAUAGAGCAGAAUGUUUUAUUGUUGUAAUCUAUAGGUAGAAAUGUAAGGUUGGACUUGGAAUGCAUUAGUUGUGAGCACUUAAAAAGUUUUGUUGUUUAGUUGUGUAUUGUCAAUGUUUGUUUUUGUUAGUUUUUACUUCAAAUAUAAUGGUUUACUGCAUUUUUUAUUUGGUAAUAGUUUGCUGCAUUGAAAGCAAACGGUAAUGGUUUGCUGCAUUUUUUAUUUGGUAAUGAUUUGCUGCAUUGAAAGCUUUUGAUAAUGGUUUGCUGCAUUUUUUUUAUUUGGUAAUGGUUUGCUGCAUUUUUUAUUUGGUAAUGGUUUGCUAGUUUGCUGGUUUGCUUCAACUGUUAAACCAUGGCUGAAUGGCCGAAAUUAAAGAAUGGUGCCAAAUUCACGAUUGAUCAUUUCAGUGCCAUAAGUUGUAAAUAGUGAUCGCUUAAGUACCAAGUUUUUAUAGAAGUGAUCAUUUAAGUGCUAGUCGCAAUUACAAAGUGAUCACUUAUGUUGCACAAGUUUUUUAAAAAAUAACAUGUUAGUGCCAAACGUCACAUUCCAAAUGCACAGAGUUCUUGCACCAGUUGAGUUGCUGGUGCAUCUUCUUGCACCAACCCAUACAGAUGUCGAUGCAACAAGAUGUACCAGCACCCAAAGUGCUCUUGUAGCAGCACAUAUAAUCAGAACCCCACAAAUUCAUUAUAAUCCACAACUUUAACCAACAACAGCAACAUUGCAGCAACAACAACAUUGCAAUAACAACAAAAAUAAAAUAUAUAGCAUAACUAACUUGCUAGCAUUCUAGCUAAAACCAACACAAGAGAAAAUGAAAAGUCAUUCCAGUACUUGCCAUUAACAUUGCUUGAUUGUUUACAAAAUACAAAAUACAAAAAAAAAAAAAAAAAACAUGUCUAACUUCACUCCCUAAUCAUCAAAAGUUCAGCACUUUCCUAAAAAAAAACAAUGGCAAUAUGCAAGCAGCAACUACCAUUGAUGAUAUAAUAUCCAGCACACUCCUAAAAAAAGAAAACAUGGAAAGAGACCAUGUCUAGCAUCACAUAAAAAGAGACCAUGUCCAACACCCUCCCAUCAGUCAAUAUUGACAACACCCUGAUCUCUUUUUCUUAUUAGAGCUUUGAAUUGAUUCAUAAUCCGAGCACUCUUUCGAACUGGAUGUGCAGGUUCUUAACUGGGCUUUCUGUCACCUCAUUUUCCUUUUCCUUGUUUUUUACGGCAGCUAUUUUUGUUCUAGCACGUAUCAUGUGUUGGUCCAUAUCAUCACUACUGCUCCCAAUCGUUGGUUGAGAUGGAACUAGUGAUGGGUUCUUUUUGGAUGGCUGUUUCGCAGCUAUACCCACUGUCUUCUUCUUCUUCUUCUUUGGAGCACUCUUCUUUGGAUGCGCCCUUAAUUCUUGAGUUGGCCCACCUUGAGAGAGAAGUACCUCUGAAGUUCUCCCAGGCUACAAGAACAUAAUGAUAUUGUCAACCAAAUGAAUUGAAGUACAACAAAUUAAAUGCAUAAGGCCUAUAAAUUUUACAUUCAAAAUAGUCAUUCCAGUACGUUCAUCUGUGUAAAUCCCAUAACCAUAUUGCCUUAAUUUUUUUCCAAGAGCCCCUUUUGUUCGCUGUGAUGCAUCAUUUUCAGCAACAACAAUCUGAUAUUGCUAGUAUGAGUACCUAGAGGGGGGUGAAUAGGUAUAUAAAGAGUUUUUCUCAAGCAAUUGCACAAUACUAGACAGUUGGAUGAAACGAUAAUCAAAGUAAGACUGAGAGAAGAGAAAAUUUAAUACGCGGUUUAUAGUGGUUCGGCUUAUAUCAAGCCUACGUCCACUCUUCUUCACUGACAGCCUAUUGGCUGGAUUCCACUAUGAACAAGAGAGAGGUUACAGCACAGCUUUGCCUUGAUUCCACAGUGUAGAUGUUCUACUACACCUCCUCAAGAUUUCUCACAAAUAUAGACUCUCUCUUUCGUAUACAAGUAUUCGCUCAAAGGAUUUGUCUAAACAAAAAGAAGUUUCAGACUUUGGAAUUCUUCUAUCGCGCACACCUUGAACAACUAAGACAGUCUUCCUUAUAUACUCCUUUAUGCCAUCAUACCCGUUGGCACUUACCAAAGGAAUUCCUCCAAUCUACCCGUUGAACGGAAUCAAUUAGGAAGAUUGUCCAAGCUAUAAAUGGAACGUGUUGAUAGCCCAUCAAUCAUGUUCGCCCAUACAAUCAGGAUCUCGGUUUCCAUAAGCAGAACCUUCCAAUAAUAUUUAGGCAAUCACCGGAUCUUCAAUUAUCGAAUCAAUCUUCGAUCAAUCAAAGGACUCCGUUUAUGUCUUCUCCAGCCAUGAGAUCUUCUCCAGUUGAUAAGGUUAAAUCCUCAACGAAACAUCCAGUUCUGGAUAACCUUUCUUCAACAAAUUAGAGACUGUCAAUGAGGAUAGACUUUGAGUCUUGAGUCUAGCUGUCCUAAGGUCUUUAGACUUUAAAUAGCAGAGUCUGCAAGCCUUCAGACUAGACUGAUAUAAACGAUUUGUCAACUUCAAAACACUUCAAGAAGAUUUCUCCAACAAUCUCCCCCUUUUUGAUGGUGACAAAACUUUCCUGCAGAUUUGGAUAUCUUUGACCUGCAAAACAUUUCUCAAACACAUAUACAUAUCUUAUAGAGGUAAAUGUCUUAACAGAAUAACACUAGAAUCUGCAACCACAGAAAAUAGGUUAGUCCAGUAUAUGAUGAAGCCAUCCAUAAGAUAUCAAUAUUAGUUAAUAGAAGCAGUCAAGUCCAAGUCUAGUUUACUUCUCAUCCAAACACAAACCAAAGUCAAAUAGAUUCAAACCACAAAACAAUCCAACAAAAACAAUUAAAAGUUGAAUGAAAGGUUUUUAAUCAAAUCUUGCAUCUCUCCCCCUUUUUGUCAUCAUUAAAAAGGAUGAGAUGAAGUUAAGAAUGCUUGGGAACGCGGACAAGCUGGAAAUCUUCCAUAGACUGAACAAUGCCUUCCAACCUUUUAAAGUCUUCCUUUAGCUGUGCAAUCUCCUCACUCUUGGCAUUGGCCUGAUUCUGAACAGAGAGGGCUUGCAUUUUAUCAUUCAAUAAACAGGAAGAAGCUUGACCUUCAUUCUUCAAGCUUUGAACUUCGCAUCCCAAGGCAUAAAUCUGACCUCGCAUCUCCAAAAGAAUAUCCAUGAUUCUGCGAAAAUCUGCUCCAUUAUCAGUUUGAGUACUUGCUUCGGCUCGAUCUGAUGGAGUAAAUGCAGAUGAUGGUAGAUCAGCAUAAUCUUGCAGGUUUGGCGAUGAAACUUCAUGACCUUCUUCUGGAAAUUGAGAUGCAUAAACAUCCUCUGGAUCUGCUGGUGAGCGACUGAUUCCUUCACUUGCAUCAGGACAUGAAGACUUCACUCCUUUCUCCUGAUCUCCCCCUGUUUCCAUGCCUACAGGUGGAGAAGAGUGUUCUUCAGGUUCUCCUUCUUCUCUUCUUUCUUCUUCAGGUCUUUCCUCCUCUGUUUCUUUUUCAGCUUCUAUUUCUUCUUCUUCCUUCUCCUCUGCUUCUUUCGUCAUUUGCUCCGAUUCUUUCUGUGGAACAAGACGACUUAAAUUCUUCAAAGCCAAUGCAGAGAUGGUGAUGUCUUCCUCAUCAUCUUCAUCCUCAACAAGGAGAGCUCUUCUUCUCUUGGAUGGAGCAACCAUGGGCUCCUUCCCUUUUCUUUUAGCUGCAGAAGAUAUUUGAUGAGAUUUUGCAGGAGUCUUCUCCUUGAAUUUCUCCAACUCCUUGCUCAGUUCUUUCAGACGCAUUUUGGUCACCAUUUUCAGACCUACCACCAUAUGAUCGCAUGGUCGAACACAAAAGAUUUGUAGAGGCUGAAUAUUCAGAUGUCUGAAUAACUUCGUAACAAGGCUUGGGUAAGGGAGUUGACCUCCGUCCUUCAUCAUUGCUCUAUACAUGUGAAACAUCACAGUGUGAGGGAGAGAAAACCUUUUUCCAAAGAGAAUGGCAUACAUCAACUUGGCCUCUGAACUUGAAACAUCAGUCUUGGAAGUCGAUUUCGGUCGGAUGCAAUUAAUCACAAUCUUGUGAAGCAAGAUGUUGAAUGCACCCAUCCUUAAGUAGGUGAUCUUUUCAUCUGUUCUCCUGUCCUUCACCAGUUCAAGAGUGGCCCGAGCAAUGGAAACUUUGAUUGGCUGAUAUCUUCCUCUUUCGACUUCUAACACAUCUGCCAGCAUAUUCAUAUCCACAACAUAAUCUUGGUUUUUAACGCUGAACGAGAAUCUAUUCGCAUCCAAAAAGCUUAGAUUUGAAUAGAAAUAUGCAGUUAAUUCAGCAUAGGCCUCUGUAGAGUCAGAGCAGAACUUUUCAAGUUGAAGAUAACUGAACUUUUCCCUCAAGUUCAUAUUCACAGCAUCCAGAAAAUCGAAAUCUACACUCCUAGGGUUUAUCACCCCACGCUUCAGCAAUUUCGAGUACAGAUCCUUUUGCUCCUUUGAUCUGAACAAAUCUCCCCUUUUUCCUUGGUUAUCAACCGCAACACCCAUUUUCGGUUGGAAUUGACUGUACAAUUUAUCAUCAUCAUUCCCAUCUACAGGAUUCGGCCCCCAGUCACGAGGAUCACUUGGGAUAUUUGCAAGGGUUUCCUCAGCCACCCCUUUUCGAGCAAUUCCCAAACUUUCCAUUUUUUUCAGAAAGAUAUAUUCGUUCCCAUGUCCUUUGUCUUUAAGAAAAUCAUCAAUGUAGUUCAAAGGAGUACGAAUUCCUUUUAGGGCACGAUAUAACUGGUAAAUAUAAGUGGGCUUUUGAACUCUUACAGGGUCUGCAUCCUCGAUGAUUUCUUCCUGUUGUUGAUGAUCAACGCCUUGAGGACUAGAUGGAGGAGAAUGACACUGUUGAGAAUGUUGUGGGCUCGCUUGCUGAUCUGGAGUCACUUCAUCUUCAGUAAGAUCGAAGUGCGUAGGCCCCUCACUCAUCCGCCGUGGUCCCCUGCUUGCAAUUCUCGAAGACUUUCUUGAAGAUGACAUCUUAGUUUUUGGAAGAUUCCUUGCUUGACUUUCCCAGGAAAGAUGACAACUUUUUAAGGAUUAAACGAAGAAGACAAACGGGAAUGGAGGAUCGAUGCUUUCUAGGGUUUUUGAGAGAAAAGUGAAGAGGAAUCGAUAGUUCACGAUCGGUUAAGAAGAGGGAUAAACGAACCAUCAUAAAGGAAAUAAAAAUAUGCCUUUUCAAAAUAACUGUCUUUUUCCGCAAAAAUAGCCAUUUCAAAAAUAACUUCCCUUUUGAAAAUGAAACGAUGCAAUAUUUACUUCAAUUAAAUAUAGCAACAAUUUAAACACAGUCUGACAAUCGUACCUUUUCAAGAUGAGAUUCAAGAGAGAAAGACUUACAGUCUGACGGACGUACCAAGACUGUCUUUCAGAUAAAGUCUUGUAAGUCUGAGUCUGAAAGUCUUUAGACUUUGAUAUCCUCAUACCUCAAAAUGUUGAGUCUCGAGCGUAUAGACUCAAAUUGAUUUUUCUCCAAAGGCUUUGUGAAUAUAUCCGCCAGUUGAUUCUUUGAGUCAACAAAUUGAAUUGAAACAUCUCCAUUUUGAACAUGGUCUCUUAUAAAAUGAUGUCGAAUCUCUAUAUGCUUUGCUCUUGAGUGGAGAAUUGGAUUUUUGGUGAGGUUGAUAGCGCUGGUGUUGUCGCAAUUAAUUUCCGUGCAUGAGUCUUCAAUUUCAAAGUCUCUUAGCUGUUGUUUUAUCCAUAGAAUUUGCGAAUAGCAGCUUCCCAGAGCUACAUACUCUGCUUCUGUUGUUGAAAGAGACACAGUGCUUUGUUUCCUUGAAAACCAAGACACUGUCCUGCUUCCAAGCAACUGGCAAGUUCCCGAAGUGCUCUUUCUAUCAACUCUGCAAUCGGCCAGAUCUGCAUCUGAAUAUCCCAUAAGAUUAAAGUCUCCCUUCUUAGGAUACCAAAGACCGAUGCUUGAUGAUGAAGCAACGUAUUUAAUGAUGCGUUUCGCAGCACUGAGAUGGGAUUCUCUAGGAUCUGAUUGAAACCUAGCAUAGAUGCAAACACUCAACAAGAUGUCAGGUCUAGAAGCAGUAAGAUAAAGGAGUGAACCAAUGAUGCUUCUGUACAGCUUUUGAUCAACUUUCUUCCCUUCUUCAUCUUUGUCUAUCUUCAAAGAACUUGACAUCGGUAUGUCGGUCUUUUUGCACUUUUCUAAUCCAAAUCUUUUGACAAGAUCAUUAACAUAUUUUUCUUGAUAAAUAAAGGUUCAUUCCUUCAAUUGUUUUACUUGAAGACCAAGAAAGAAUGUUAACUCUCCCAUCAUACUCAUUUCAAAUUCAUCCUGCAUAGACUUAGAAAAUUUCUUGCACAUAUUUUCAUUAGAAGAUCCGAAUAUAAUGUCGUCCACAUAUAUUUGAACAAGUAAGAAACUUUUGUUCUCCUUUUUGAUAAAUAAAGUAGUAUCCACUUUACCUUUGACAAAACCAUUUUGUAUUAAAAACUUACUUAAUCUGUCGUACCAAGCUCGAGGUGCUUGCUUUAAACCAUACAGAGCCUUCUUCAGUCUGAAGACUGAGUCUGGCUUCUUUGGGUCUUCAAACCCUGGUGGUUGUUCCACAUAAACUUCCUCUUGGAUGACUCCAUUUAGGAAGGCGCUUUUGACGUCCAUUUGGAAUAACCUGAAAUUCUUAUAACAAGCAAACGCAAGUAAUAGUCGAAUAGCUUCUAACCUUGCUACUGGAGCAUAAGUCUCAUCAUAGUCUAUUCCUUCUUCUUUCAUAUAUCCCUUGGCCACGAGUCUUGCUUUGUUUCGUAUGACUUUUCCUUUCUCAUUCAUCUUGUUUCUGAACACCCAUUUAGCUCCAAUAACAGUUUUACCUUUUGGUUUGGAUGUCAAUUUCCAGACAUCAUUAAUGCUAAACUGUCUGAGCUCUUCUUGCAUAGCUUCAAUCCAGCUUUCAUUAGAUAAAGCUUCUUCUAUGCUUUUUGGUUCAAUUUUAGAAACGAGAGCCACAACACUAGACUUUUCUCGCCUUUUGGAUCUAGUGCGAAUUCCUUCAUUCAUUUCGCCGAUUAUAAGAUCUUUGGGAUGACUGGACUUAUGCUUCCAGUUACUCGUUGAUCUGUCUGGUUGAUGAUUUCUUUCUUUGUUUGGAUCUUCACGAACAUCUUGAAGCUGGUUUUCCAGAGUCUGAGAUGCUUCUUGAGAUGUAAGCUUUGGAAGAUCUGGAGCAGGUUCAGACUCUUCUUGAUGAGUCUGACUUGAUUCAUCUUGUGUUGAGUCUUGGAAUUUGACAUUCAUUGACUCCUCCAUAAACUGGCUCUUCUUGUUAUAGACUCUGAAGGCUUUGCUUGAUGUAGAAUAUCCAAGGAAGAUACCUUCAUCUGAUCUUUCUUCAAACUUACCAACUUGAUCUUUUGCAUUUUUCAAUAUAAAACAUUUGCAACCGUAUACAUGAAAGUAUGAAACAAUAGGCUUCUUAUCUUUGAACAAUUCGUAAGGGGUUUUCUCUAGAAUAGGUCUUAAGAAGAUUCUAUUGAUGAUAUAACAUGCUGUUGAAACAGCUUCAGCCCAAAAUCGUGAAGAAAUCUUGCUUUCAAAUAAAAGAGUUCUAGCCAUUUCCUGAAGAGAUCUGUUCUUUCUUUCCACAACUCCAUUUUGCUGAGGAGUAUAUGGAGAGGAGAACACAUGAUUAAAGCCAGAUUCAUCACAAAAUUUUGUAAAAUCUUGAUUUUCAAAUUCACUUCCAUGAUAUGUUCUUAUACUUGAGAUAACACAUCCUUUUUUCAUUUUGAACCUUUUUAGCAAACUUUUCAAAAUACGAGAAGGUUUCAGACUUACUUGCAAGGAAAUAUACCCAAGUAAAACGGGAGUAAUCGUCCACAAUUACUAGGCAAUAUUUCUUACCUCCAAUACUCUGUGUUCUGGUUGGUCCGAAGAGAUCCAUAUGCAGCAACUGUAGUACAUGAUUAGUAGAGACAUGAUUUAUUGGCUUGAAUGAAUUUCUUAUCUGCUUUCCCAGAAUACAUGGAGUGCAUGGAUCAGUCUUUUGAUAAGGUAAUUUGGGUAGUCCUUGAACAAGCUGCUUUGAUGAGAUUUUGGCUAAUUGCUUCAUGUUAACAUGACCAAGCUUUCUGUGCCAUAAGCUUGCUUCGUCUUGAAUUGAGAUAAAACAUUGCGAUUCAUUUGGUUUCACAUCCAGAAGAUAAAUGUUUCCAUGUCUACGACCCAUGAAAGACUGAGUAGAGUCUUUACUGAUUCCAGAACAUAUUCCUUCUUGAAAAAAGAUCUUGAAACCAGUAUCACACAAUUGACUAAUGCUGAGAAGAUUGUAAUUGAGUCCUUCCACUAAGGAAACAUUACUUAUUGUGAGAUUUCCAAUUUUCACAGUUCCAAAUCCCACAAUACUCCCUUUGUUGUUUCCUCCAAAUGAAACUUUUCCACCAUUUACUUGAGCAAUCUUUAUAAAACAAUUUGAGUCUCCUGUCAUGUGUCUUGAGCAUCCACUGUCAAGAUACCACUUUACCUUUUUCUUGACGGUGACCUGCAUUUAAAAAAGAGUCUCAAGCUUUCUUUGGUACCCAAACUUUCUUGGGUCCUUUUGUGUUAGUAACAUAAGCAGUAUUAGCCCAUAUUCUCUUAACAGGUUUCCAAACCAUAGGACACUCUUUUUCAAGGUGAUCCGGACUGUUGCAUUUUGAACAUUUUAGAGCAUUUCUUCCUACAGAUUUUACAAAAACUUUCUUGAAGUGAUUUUUGUAAACCUCUCUCGAGAGUCUUUUCUUAAUUCUUUCUUUUACUUUAGGAAAAUCAAUCAGGGGAAUUGUUUCUUCUGUCAUACCUAAACCGGACUUAUUGAAGUAAGGUCUUUGAGCUGAAAGAAUUUUCUCAAGUUUUUCGGACCCUAUUGAAAAUUUCUUUGAGAUAUUUGAUAAGUCUGUUUUUAAAAAAGCAUUUUCUUUUAAAAGAUCAUCUUCAUUUUCUUUAAGAGUGGAAACAGUCAAGUCAAGACUUUUAACUCUUUCUACUAAAACAUUUUCCUUUUGUUUUAGAGCUGAGUUUUCCUUUUUCAGUUCGGAAAUUCUUUUGAGAGAAGUCUUAAGACUAAAACAUAAUUCAUCAAUAUAUUUAGAAACUUUGACAGGAAUUUUAAUAUCACUUGCCUCAAAUUUACUGUCUGAGUUUGAUCCAGAGUCUGAGUCUGAUUGUGCCAUCAGACAUAGAUUGGCAUAUUCAUUAUCACUUUUUUCACACUCUGUGUCACUCCAUGUUUUGGCUUUGAGAGCUUUUCGAAAUCUUUCAGCUUUUCCUUUCUUCUUUUUCAGAAGAGGACAGUUGGGUCUGAUGUGUCCCUUUUUCUUACAUUCAAAGCAGACUAUGUCUUUGUUUGGUUCCUCAUCAUCAACAGACUUGGUCUGCUGUCUUUGAAAGCUUUGUUUCUUUGAAUUGAACCUUCUUCCUUUUCUAUUCAGUUUUCUGAAUCUUCUUAUCAUGAGAGCAAGCUCCUCAUCGUCCAUAUCUUCUUCAGAAUCUGUAUCAUCAGAAUCAUUAUUUGAUUUUAAUGCAAUGGAUUUCUUACCUUUUGGAUCUUCAUCUUCAUUGAUCCAUUCCACUUCAUAAGACUGAAGAGUUCCAAUUAGCUCGUCGACAGAUAGUGGCAUAAUUCUUUGCGUCUCUCUUAUCGAAGUCUUUAUGUGAUUCUAAUCCCUGGAGAGUCCACGCAGUAGCUUGUUUACCUUCAUGGGAUCAGAAGUUGGUUGACCUUGAUUUUCAAGACCAUUCACAAUAUCUGUAAAACGACUAAACAUGUCAGAUAUAGAUUCUCCUGGUUUCAUUCUGAAGGCUUCGUAUUGACCAAGAAGAAUGUUGAUUAUAGUUUCCUUCACUCGAUCUGUUCCUUCAUAAGUGAUAUGCAAUCUAUCCCAAACUUCUUUUGUUGUACCACAAGAAGAUAUUCUAUUAUAUUCAGUUGGUGAUAAAGCACAAUAUAAGGAGUAAAUUGCUUUUGCAUCGAGUGCUUGUCUUUUGUUUAUUUCUUCCUGAGACAUUCCGCUGGUUUCAUCAGUUUCUUUUCCUCUUUCAGAUACUGAUGCAGUGGUAGGAGUAAUUCCUUUUUCUACAACGUCCCAUUCCAGAGGAUCCUUUGAUCGAAGGAAAGCUUUCAUCUUGUUCUUCCAGAUGUUGUAAUCCUUUCCAUCAAAGUAGGGUGGUCUGGUAUUGCUUUGCCCUUCCAUCAACCCUGGUGCUAGCAUACUAGCCAUGGAUCUUUUACUACGAAGUAAAACACUUCAAAUAAAGUAAGUACACAGGCUCUGAUACCAAUUGAUAUUGCUAGUAUGAGUACCUAGAGGGGGGUGAAUAGGUAUAUAAAGAGUUUUUCUCAAGCAAUUGCACAAUACUAGACAGUUGGAUGAAACGAUAAUCAAAGUAAGACUGAGAGAAGAGAAAAUUUAACACGCGGUUUAUAGUGGUUCGGCUUAUAUCAAGCCUACGUCCACUCUUCUUCACUGACAGCCUAUUGGCUAGAUUCCACUAUGAACAAGAGAGAGGUUACAGCACAGCUUUGCCUUGAUUCCACAGUGUAGAUGUUCUACUACACCUCCUCAAGAUUUCUCACAAAUAUAGACUCUCUCUUUCGUAUACAAGUAUUCGCUCAAAGGAUUUGUCUAAACAAAAAGAAGCUUCAGACUUUGGAAUUAUUCUAUCGCGCACACCUUGAACAACUAAGACAGUCUUCCUUAUAUACUCCUUUAUGCCAUUAUACCCGUUGGCACUUACCAAAGGAAUUCCUCAAAUCUACCCGUUGGACGGAAUCAAUUAGGAAGAUUGUCCAAGCUAUAAAUGGAACGUGUUGAUAGCCCAUCAAUCAUGUUCGCCCAUACAAUCAGGAUCUCGGUUUCCAUAAGCAGAACCUUCCAAUAAUAUUUAGGCAAUCACCGGAUCUUCAAUUAUCGAAUCAAUCUUCGAUCAAUCAAAGGACUCCGUUUAUGUCUUCUCCAGCCAUGAGAUCUUCUCCAGUUGAUAAGGUUAAAUCCUCAACGAAACAUCCAGUUCUGGAUAACCUUUCUUCAACGGAUUAGAGACUGUCAAUGAGGAUAGACUUUGAGUCUUGAGUCUGGCUGUCCCAAGGUCUUCAGACUUUAAAUAGCAGAGUCUGCAAGCCUUCAGACUAGACUGAUAGAAACGAUUUGUCAACUUCAAAACACUUCAAGAAGAUUUCUCCAACACAAUCCUUGUAGCAACCUCUGCAACUUGUGCAGUUGCUCGUCUUCUCACCUAAGAAACACAUAACAAAUGUAAAUUUUAGCCCAUAAAAAGGCCAAACACAGUGAUGUACAACUUACAGGAUAUUUUUUUCUUGUUUGCUCAACGGUGGACUCAGUUGUUAUUGUUGCUGUCUUACCAAUUCUAGUCCUUAUCCCUGCACUUGAGCCUACAACAUGGCCUUUUUCUGGCCCUUUAGUAGGCCUUACAACAAUGUGCUGUAUUAGGAUUAUGACCAACUACAACGAAUAAUUACACAUCUCAUUUUCAUAGUGGAAACACAUGGAGAAAACUUCUCAAAUUACAAGUGCAUGACAGAGGAAAAGCACAAGAGAAGCUAGUACACAUGGUCAACCAUCAAACUCUAUCGAAUAAGAACUGUAAAGUUACUGAGAUAAAGAGGAUACUUACCUUACAGUAUGGCUUUCUGUUGCCCUUUAGUAGACAUUACAGCAGGGCCUUCUGUUCUCCCUUCAAUAAGCCCAACAAGAAACUCUUUGUAAGUCAUGUCCCUGGCAUUGAAUCAACCAUUACAUCUUGCUAUUGAUACUGCUUUUUCAGCUCACAACCUUUCUUAUCGUGCCCUUCCUUGCGGCAAUAGGAGCAUUUCAUAUUUGAUCUAGUCCUACUCAUCCUUUGACUUGAUGCCUCUUCCUAUUGCAUUCUUCGUCUCUUUUUUGGCCUUCAUAUUUGCUUCUUCAGCGGUAAAGGUAGAGGGCUUUAAUGAUUUGUUGGCUCCCAAAAUUUGCUGCUUCUGAUAGGCUACAUCAUGAAUUGGUAUGAAGCAAGGUAUGAGCUUUUUUUGUACCAAUCAUCUAGGUAAUCAUCUAGGUUUUCUUGCUUCAUCUGAAUAGCACAAAUGGCAUGAGCACAGGGAAUUCCAUUCAGUUGCCAAGCUCGGCAUGAACACUUUCUUCUAUCCAAGUUGACAACAUACUUAUCAUGAUUUGGAAUAAUCUCAUACCCAUUAUCUUCAUUCCAAACUGGAUGGCAGAACCUACUAACAGCAAUAUUUGCAUCUAAUCUCUUCACAAUCCUAGGGCCACAGUCUCUACUCCAUUUUGUAGCAUCAUCUCUUUGCCUAUGCAGUCUAGUCAUAACCAUAACUCGAAUAUCAUCAAGCAUGCUGAUGAUUGGUUUGCACCUAGCCUCUAAAAUUCUACCAUUGAAAGCUUCAUUGAGGUUGUUAUCAAUGUUAUCGCAUUUGAACUCUUCGCUGAAGAAGACCCGACACCAGUGCUUAGCUUCUGUCUGGAAGAGUGUAUCAAAACCUUCAUUUGUCAGCUGUAACAAUCCUUGUUUCGCUAAUUUGAAAUCAACCAUAUUCGUACUCUUUGCUAUCUGCCAGAACUGCUUCUACAACAUAUCUCCUUUGAAGUUCCUUGACCAGUUUGCAUAUAUGUGCCUCGUGCACAUUCUAUGCUCAGCAUGUGGCAUCAACUCAGCCAAUGCAGGAAUAAGUCCAUACAAAAAUUCAAACCAAUAAAUACAAGUCAAGAAAAAUAUGCAAGUGAUUAAUAUAUAAAUGAGUGAUUAUUGACAUGAAAUUACCUUCUAUUGGUUGCUCAUGAAUGCCCAUCCUCCCCCAUCGGUUAUCACAAGGUCAGUCAUCAAAUUUUUUAGGAACCAUGACCAAAUAUCCUUGUUCUCUAUCUUUACCACCGCCCAAGUUAUCGGGAACAUUUAAUUAUUGGCAUCUCUCCCCACAGCAACCAACAACUCCCCCUUGCAUAAACCCUUUAGAAAGCAUCCAUCCAAUCCUAUAACUCUUCUACAACCAACCAAGAAGCCCCGUUUGCAUGCAUCAAAACAGACAUAAAAUCUAUCAAAUUUAGGCCAAAGAUCAGGGAGUGGCCUCUUCACAACCUCUACAUAUACCCUACUGGAUGGGUUUUGAAACAUGUAUUCACCAGCAUAAUUCCAUACCUGUGCAUAUUCUUCUUUAUACCCACCCAUCAAUAUUUUCAUCACCCUUAUCUUAGCUCUCUUACAUUGAUUCCUCGACACAUUAACCUCCACUUGCUCCUUCACUAAUUGUUGAAAUUGAGAACUCUUGAUCUCGGGCAUUGCUUUGAUAGUAUUAAAAAAAUUCUUUGAUAACCACACACUUGUUACCCUUUUAUUAUUAAAGAUAAUUGGACAAGUAUGCUCCUCCUGAAAGGACCUAAGCUAGAAUGACCUAUUCUUACUAAGCGCAGCAUAGAGCUUCCAUGAACAAUUAGGUUGUGAGCACUUAGCUCUCACAAAUUCCUUCGUGUUUCUAAUAAAUUUAACGCUCCUCUGUUCACCAAUUGAGUUCUUCACAACAGCUUCCUUGAACUGUUUGGCAUUGUCAAAUCUCAUGCCCACCGACAAAACAGGUUUAUCAACAGUUGAAUCAUAGAAAGGAUACUUACUUUUUCUUCGAGGAGCAGGUUCUUCAUCAUCAUUGUCAAGCUCAUUUUCCGAACUAGUAACUUCAUCGCCACAGCUUUCUUCAUCUUCACUUCUAUUACCCUCAGCUUGAUCUCCAUCCCUAUUUACUGGCUCGGACCUUUUUGCUAAAGCUACAAGUUUUUUUUUCUCAGAAAUUCCCUUUGCUUUUGUCUUGACUGUACGAGUUCAUCAUCAUCUUCGUCACUUGGAAAAUUUACUAAAGCCAAACAUUCAUCUUCCGAUUCAUUAGAUAAAGCAAUUUCCCAUUCUAAUCCAAUGAAGUCUUCAUCGCCCACAUCUUCACCCAAAUCUUCACCCAAAAUUUCAGGACAUCUCCCUCUUUGUUCAUCUCUAUCAAUAUGACUUAUCUCCCUCUCAUUUUGCCCUUCAUCUAACCUAAACUUAUCCCCGACUUGAUUACUCGUUUGAACAAGAUCCCUCACUUCUCCUCCUUCAGUGGUCGUCUGCUCAUCCACAUCCUCAUCCUCAUCCUCACUAUAAUACUCAACAUAUACCUUAACUUCUUCAUUGUGAAGAUAAUGGUAAAUGAUAUCCUUAAUACCAUUAUCGUUGUUAAAAAAUCUUAACCCAUCCUUCAAUUCCUUCCCAGGAACACAGUAAUGUAGUUUUUGCACUUUGCAUCGUAAAAAAUACACCAAAUCUCUCAGAAAAUCAAUAUAUGAUGGCUUCCAAACAUUGACAUAAAUAGUACCUUAAUUUCCACUAUUUUAUUAUCAAUCUUCAGUGCCAAUAACAAACUCUCCACCAUAGUAAACAAUGACGCUUACCUGAUUCGUGUCCAUGUCGAUGCUGCACCCAAUGAAAAAAAAAAGAGUCAUUGUCGUUUUGUUGGAACCACAUGACAGAAUCGACAACUUCACAUGUAGGUCCUUAUCGUUUUGUUGUCAAGGAACAAAUGCGACUAAAAUCUCCCCAAUUCGGUGGAUUUACAGAAAUAAAAGAAACCGAAUUAAAUAAACAAAGUGAGGUCCCCACCACUCAUUUUUCAAUUCAAUCACAUUCACAUUCGGUCCCCCACAAAAGCAGUCCAAUUAAUUAAAUAAAAAAAUUCGGUCCACCACUGUUUCCCUCCGAGUCAAGCCUCUCCGCACCAUUUUUUCUGUUCGGUCCUCACAAUAGAAAACGAACAAACGAUGGAAGAAUCAAUUUUUCUAUUCCGUCCCCAUAAAAGUGACAUCCCCACCACUUUCCCCACUACUUUCCGCUUGAGCCAAGCCCUCAAUUUGCCCUCCGUGCCCUAAUUUGCCCGUCGGAACCCUAAUUUUUUCGCAAAAUUGAUCCACGUAGAGAACAUGACAAACUUGAACGAUCGUGAACAAUGGCGCAACUACAACGGUGGCCAAGCGAUAGUGGGCGAGCGACAGCAGGCGAGCGAACGACGGUGGGUGAACGACAGUGGGUGAGCGAGCUCCGGCCAGCGUCGAGGAGAAUAAUAUACGAACCCUAUUUUACUCCCUCUUCAGCAACAUCGUUUUUUGCUAUGGAGCAACGCGGCGUCGUUUCUUAUGUGAAUCCACGGUGGAUGGCAAGAAACAACGUUGUUUCUUACAAAGAAAGGAAAACGGCGUCGUUUUAUGCUAUCCACCGUGGACAAUCUUAAGCCACAUCGUUUUUUUUUUAAAUAUAAAAGCCACGUAUUUAUUUUGGCCGAAAUUUCUCGCCAGUGGCACCAAAGUGAUCGUUUUUUCUCCGAUUUGGCACUUAAGUGAUUUGACGGAAACUUUUGACACCAAAGUGAGCGCCGUACACAACUUAUGGCACCAUUAGUGUACUUUUCCCCAAGGUUAAGGCUUGCCACACUGAAUGUAACUUCGCUUUGGGACCCAACCAACGCUAGAACGCCACCCGUCUUCAAAAGAGACAUGUAAGGAUCAAAUAGGUGAUCAGCAGAUGCCGUGUCGAUUAUAAAGUCCAGGGACUUAGCCAUGGCCUGCAUGUAUUGGAAUCAUCAGAUCACGGUAGCACUUGACCUUAAUGGAUCUAAAGUAUUGAUAAUUUUAAAUCUUCCCGCCUGCCUUCGUCUAUUCUUGGUCAGAUGAGAUAACGAAGUGGUCAGCACCAAGCAAGCUCAGUGCUUCCUCCUUUUUAGAAAUGCUUGUACUAAACAUAGCGAAUUUCAGUCCAUAAGCCUUCCCAAGCUUAAUUGCCAUGUGACUGAGCCCACCGAGUCCAAUUACACCAAGAGACUUACCCGGUUGGUUCAUCUUGUGACGCACCAUUUGAGUGUAUAUUGUGAUUCCAGCACAAGGCAAUGGUGCUGCUAAAGCCAACGGGAAGUUUUCUGGAAUCCUGAAGCAGUACCUGUUAAUGAAGCACCACAAUUAAGUUUCCAAAUCACACCAAAGGAGGAAGGGAUUUCCCAAUAGAAUCAGCAUCCCAUCUUUUUUGUACAACGGGAUUCAAAUCACAUUUUACUUGCUUAGAGCACAAUUCAACAUCAUGUGGUUUCUGUGAUUCUUUUUCUGACCACAAAUUGCUUAAGACGAAAACUUCUUGCUGUAGCGACGAAAGUAAAGCCACUGCAGCAUACAGGAGGCCAUACUUGAUCAAAAUUGAGAAAAGAGGCUUGCUCUAACAGAGUACACUGGAAGCAUAUUGCAUAUGCAUGGCAGAUCAUGUAAUUUCUCUAUUCCCCUCAAUCAUGUCUCUAAGGGACACGAUAUUCCCGUGACUGUCGAAUACAAGAAUCCGUGAAAGCACGUACAUUUUAUUACCCAUUUGAUCUAACACUUACCAUCUAACUCUUGGAAACAAUCUAAAAAAAGGGAGGAAGAGGAGAUAGAAGGCAAGAAUUGAGCAAUUUCCAUCUGUUUCUCUCUUUUAAUUAAGAGUUAAUAUCCUAAAAAACUCCAAAUUGGUACACAUGUGACAAAUUUACCCCGAUGGACUAUUAAAAACCCUAAAAUUAUAUAUUUAUGACAAAUUUACCCCAAACUAAUUUAUUCGACCACAAAAAAAAUGGUAAAUUUGUGACAAAUAUAUCCUCCACUAAAUUGAAUUAAUACCAUAGUAAACCGUGACAAACGGAGCGUAAAAUCUCAAAUUGAUAUACUAGUCAACUGUCACAUGUCAUUUAACUUAAUAAUUUGACAGUAAAAUUUAAUGAAAACUAAUAGAAGGUAAAUUUGUCACAAGUGUACCAGUUUAGAGUAAAUUUGUCAAAUAUAUAACAAUUUAGAGUUUUUUGUGGUAAAAAAAAAUAGUUUGGAGUAAAUUUGUCACAGGUAUAUCAGUUUGGGGUUUUUUAGGGUAUUAACCCUAUAAUUAAUUUAGUUUUAAAUUUAAUCUUAUUAAUUUUUCAUGAAAAAUUCAUAUGUUAAAUUUAUUGGCUCACAUGUCAUUGUCACUUGAUGUGUAUGAUAUAUAGAAUAGUCCAAGAAAUUUGACUUUAGAUACAUGGGAACCCGCGAAUGGUCAUACAUUGUCGAUUACACAUUCAACAUGAUGUAUUAGCUAAUCAUAGUCCUCUAACGGUUUAUAUUUGCUUAAUAUAUUUCAAGAAUAUUAAUUUGUUAGACUUGUCCGCUCACACGCCGCUGUCACUCGAUGUGUAUGAUAAGCAGAAUAGUCGAAGAGCUUUGACUUUAGAUACUUGGGAGUGUCUAUGCUUGUUUUAUGUCUAUUAUGCUUGCAAUGCUUCUUGUUUUGAGUGGACAGUACAAAUAUUUAAGUCCGUGUCAAUUUGAACAAUUUUCUUUAUUAUAGAGCAACAGUCUUUAAUCUAUUGUGUUCUUGACCACAAAAAACCAAAUAACAAAUAAGUAUAAAUUAUUGUAGGGUCCAACGACAAUCUUUAAUCUAUUGUGUUCUUGACCACAAAAAAUCAAAUAAUAAAUAAGUAUACAUUAUUAUAGGACCCACUCCUUUAAAAAUUUGUUGUUCACAAAAACUUAUUUAUUCUCAUAAUAACCCAAAGUUAUGCUAGCAAAAAUGCAAUUUAAUCCUAAAAUUUGUCACGAAAUGCAAUUGAGUCCUAAAAUUUUCAAAAAGUACAAUUAAUUAUAAAGAUUUAUCAAAAUUGGUCCAAUUUAAGUCAUUCCAUUCAUUGCAAUUUUUGAAAGUUUUAGAGCUCAAUUAUGCUUUCCUAACAAGUUUUAUGACUUAAUUAUAAUUUUUGAAAAUUUUAGAACUUAAUUGUAAUUUAUGAUAAGUUUUAGGAUUUCUAGUACACUUAUCUUUUUUUUUUGUUUUUCACCUCAUUAAUCUUUUUUGCAACAAUGAGCUUGACAUAUCUCUGUUUUGAGGAUUUCAGUGGCUAGGGGAAACACAGGGAUGUCCUCUAAUGAAUCAACAAUCUUCCUGCCAUGACAAUGCCGGAAGAGAGAUGAGUGUCUUACAUAGUUAACAAAAAUGUUCAUGUUAUAAUUGGUAAGCAUUCGCUUUCCCAACGUGCAUGAACAUUUCCGGCGAUGAAACAUUCGUGAGGAGCCAGUAAAGACAUCCUGUUAUUUAAACCGGCAAGAGGAUAUCGAGCUUGCUCUAUUGGCAAGUAUAUUGUUGUCAGAUAAGCCUAAUAAAUCCGAUAUUUUCAUACAAAAAAUCGUCAUCGAGGCCAACUUAAUCCAAAAUGCCAAUGGACAGGCUUGGGUAAGCUAGUGGAUAGGUAUGCCGCUUUAUCUUAUGUCGUGUUAUCUCACGAGAGAUGGUGCUGCGUUCUCUUUAGAAUGCACAUGACUUGGGAUAGGAAAACCUUAGGAUCCGACUAGGAGGAAGGAAAAAAGCAAUCUAUUGUCGGGCCAAUAUAAGAUCAUUUCAUGUCAAACUCCGCAGUCUUGAGGCCAUGGAAUCUACGACAUACUUGCUCAUUCACAAGGACUGAGCAAAUAAAUGAUAAAAUAAGAGCAAUGGUCGUCAUUGAUCGUCUGCCCUUUAACUGAUUGGAUUCUAAAUAUUUUAUUUUCAAUUGGGGUCUAAAUAUUUUAUUUGAUUCAAUUGACUUCUAAAGAUUUCCAAUUUUAGUCAAUCAAGUCCCUCAAAUAUUAUCCUCGGAAAGAGCCACAUGGCUGUGAUUUUCCUAGUGGCUAAGGAGAUGCUUGAGGAGAAAACCUGUAGGAGAGGCGAAGCCAUCCAAGCAGAACUCUCAAGAAGUCAAUUUUUCAGACAGUUUCUCAAUCAUCACAUAGAGAAGUACCAGGAUUUCAUUACCCAUUUCACUUGUUUCUGCUAUAAAACUCACGAGUAUCGAAGUAUAUCAGGCAUAGUUUAUUUGUACUCCAGCAGAGCAAUUAAGAAGGCAUAGAUGAUGCUCUCCUCUAGCUGAAAGCCCGAAACUCCCACUUUUCCUCUGUGUGAUCAGCCUUGCCAGCAACAAUUUCCAACUACCCAAAUUGAUGUUGAAAUUUAAUCAAAUAGACUCAGAGAAGAAAACAAACAAGAGAAUUGUUGCUGUAACUUUCGUUACUUUAUUCAUCAGAACAUAAGCCUAUUAAAUAGGCAGAACAUCCAAACCACUUAGCAAGACAAUAGCUAUAGAACAACAACAAAGACCCACUAACAUACCCCACUAACCAGAACAUAUGCAGAAACUAACUCCUAAAAACAAGCCACAUCCUAUUGACUAGGACUCCACUAUUACAUUAUUGAAGACACGUAAAAACUGAAAGUUAACUACUUCAACAAUUGAUGGUGUCACUUCAAGGAGUUCUCAAUGUCAAUCACGAAUCGAUACUUAACAUCUCUCUUGAUGAGCCUCUCCAGAGCUUCGUUGGCGUAAUCGAUCGGUAUCACUUCAAUGUUUGGGUAUAUCUUCUGCACCGCACACAAGUCUAUCAUUUCUUGGGUAUUCUUUGUUCCUCCCGUUACGCUACCCGUAACAGUUCUCAUAUCUGCCAAAAGUUCACCGCGAGCAACUUAAUUCACCUAUCAGGUAUGAAAUUUCAUUUAGUAAUCAGAUUUGAGAACAAAAACAUACUGAGGUUAAGGCUGGCUGGACUGAAUUUAACUUCGCUCGGGACGCCGACCAAUGCUAGAAUGCCACCCGUCUUCAAAAGAGACAUGUAAGGAUCAAAUGGGUGAUCACCGGCUGCCGUGUCGAUUAUAAAGUCCAGGGACUUAGCAAUGGCCUGCGUGCAUUGGAUUUAUCAGAUCACAACAGAAUUUGACCACCAUGGAUCUCAAUGUGGAUAAUUCUAGUUUUUCCUCUUUUUACCUUCAUCUGCUCCAGGUCAGAUGAGAUAAUGAAAUGGUCAGCCCCAAGCAGGCUCAGUGCUUCCUCCUUUUUAGAAAUGCUUGUACUUAACACUGUGACUUUCAGUCCAAAAGCCUUCCCAAACUUAACUGCCAUAUGACCGAGCCCACCAAGUCCAAUUACACCUAGAGACUUACCAGGUUGGUUCAUCUUGUGACGUAUCAUUGGAGUGUACACCGUGAUUCCAGCACAGAGCAAUGGCGCUGCUAGAUCCAUCGGGUAGUUUUCUGGAAUCCUGAAGCAAUACCUGUCAAUGAAGCACCACAAUUAAGUUUCCAAAUAACACCAAGACAGGAAGUGAUUUCCCAAUAGAAUCAGCAUCCUGUCUUUGUUGUCUAAAAGGAAUCAAAUCACAGAGCCAGAAAUCCUAUCUUCCACAUGCUUGGGAAUUUUACUUGCUUAGACCACAAUUCAGCAUCAUGUUGUUUCUGUGAUCCUUGUUCUGACCACAAAUUGCUCUAGACAAACAUUUCUUGCUGUAGCAACGUAAAUAAAGCAAUUGCAGCAUACUGGAGACCACACUCGAUUAAAAUUAAGAAAAGACACUUGCUCUAAGAAAGGAAACUAGUGGCAUAUCAUGUAUGCUUGACUGAACACGUAAUUUUGUAUUUCCUUCAAUCAAUUUCUCCAAAGGACUCAAGAUUCCUGCGGCUCUAUCAGAAACAAGAAUUAGUGAAAGCGCAUACAUUUAGCUACUCAUUUGAUCUGAUACUUAUGAUCUAACUCUAACAAUCUAAGGACAGCUUAUUCCAUUCUUGACAAUGGUUAUUCAAAAGAAAGAAUUUCUUUUCGCAUUUAAUAAAGCCAGUUCUCCAUUGAAUGGUUUGAAUGGUAAUUGGAUACAGAGGACUUAAAGACUCUCCAGAGUCGUUAUAGAAAGUAUCUUUAUCCCUUUCCACAAGAUGCAAUUAAUGCCUAAAAGCCAUUCCUCACAGUCCUAUGCAUUAUGCCACUUCUGGUCACAAUCAGAAUAAGAAGAAAAUUAGCAGAGAAGAAGACAUGACAUGAAAUCUUUUUUUGGCCACCAUGAUUUGGAAUUCUGUCACAGUGCAAAAUGCUGCCUAAUAACACUGUGUCAGUAAGCAAUUACCUUUCAUGGACGACAAUGUGACUAGAAUAUCCUCCCUUUGUCACUGUACCAUCUGCAUCAAUUCCAUCAAAAGUCAUAACCGACUUUUCACAUUGGACUUCUAGCCUGUCAUUGCAAUACUCGCACUCUCUGCAUGAAUUGACAUAAGUUCCCACCCCCACAUGAUCGCCAACUUUGAAGCGUUGGACACUGGAGCCAACCUGUUUCACAAUUCCAACUAUCUCGUGCCUGAAUCAAUCAAAAAAAAUUUUCGCAAAUUUUGUUCAGAGAAUUAUGAGGAUGGUGCUAAGAAAAAAGAUUUAACAUUUGAAUCCCGCUGCAUCCUACCCCGGCACCAGAGGAUACUUGGAGUGUCCCUGCACAUUCCUAGUCCAAGCCACAUCUGCGUAGCACACUCCACAGUGCGUGAUCUUAAUCGAGACGUCUUCGCUUCCCACGGCCCUAAAGAGAUGAUUCCCAAACAGGUGAGCAUAUAAUCCAGUGACUAAUCAGACUAGGGUGCCCUUUUUUUCCAUUUUCAAGAUCAACAAACUAAACUUGACCUACGAUUAUUGAGGAAACAAGAAACCAGAAAUGAGAAAAGGAAAAAUUCCAUGACUACAAGCAUAUUUGUCCAUACGGUAGAUACAACCUCAAAUGCUCAGAAAGGCAGCCAGUACAGGAUCCUCAUGUCUGCAGCCAGUACAGGAUCCUCAUGUCUGCCAUGAAAUUCUGAGUAACCCAUAACCAACAAUUCUCGACUCAGAAUUCAGCGCAUACACAACAAAAGAAAGAACGAAAAAAAAUGAAAUGGUCUGGACCGAAACUGUCUCUCGUGAACACUGUACUGAGACUCUCGCAUGAACACUUCGGUAGAAAUCGAAAAAGAAAAAAAAAAAAAAUGGCAAUACCUGCGGGUGAAUUUGUAGGGGGAGAGGAACCCAGAAGGGUCCCGGGCAGCCCAACCGAGGCAAUCCUCCUUCCCACCCUCCGAGCUCAUCUUCUGCACCUACACACCCGGCGAAGCAAUCACACAAACAGGUACGGUUAGAUUCAUCCAAAGAAGAAGAAGAAAGGGUGAGAACGCGAACGAGAGAGUGCCCAAGAUCAGAGACUCGACGGGUCAUCACACGGCGACGACUCGAGUCACAACGAGCUCGCCAUCACUCAUCAACUCACUCACUCACCCACCCCCACCUACCCAAGCACAACCCCACAGCAACUCAGAGAGAGAGAGAGAUGACUACGGAGAUGGAGAGAGGUUACGCGGUGGUGGAGUAUGCGGUAGCGCGAAGAGGGUGAUGAGCCGAGCAGAGUCGAGGACGGGAGGUUCAACGAAGACUUUUGCCCCCUCCUACUUUGCAGGAAAGCUACGAGUCGUCGUAUGGAUUUUAUGGCGGUGGCCCCUAGGCUCUAAAAGAAGGUUCGAGGAGCCUACUGCCUAGCCUUCUUUUGCUGUUGGUUUCAAUAUCUGCUGCUUUUCCGCCUUAGCCCAACCGACAUCGCCCUCAAAAGACAUCAAAGAUAAGGUAGUUGGAAGGAAACAUCAUCCGAAACUUAAAGAUGGGGUAGUUGGAAGGAAACAGUAUACGAAACUUUGGUUCAAUAGGUAACGUGAUUUUCUAAAUUUUUAAUUUACCCAAUAUGAUUUUUUAAAAUUUUGGUAUAGAUUCAACUUAGUCUUUAGAGUAUAUAUUGUCGCAAAUUUUAAAUUAAUAAAAUGACGACGUUGAAUAUUUUCAUAUGAUCAAAUGACAACAUUAAAUAUGUACUAAAAUUUUGAAUAAUAUUGAAUAUUUUCAUAUAAUUUUGAGAUUAUAUAGAAUAUGUAUCAAAGAUCAUUAACUAUAUAGUUCCGUUCAAUUUGCGGAAAAUAAUUUCCGAAAAACCGUUUUUCAGAUUUUUCGACAUUCAUUUCAUGAAAAAUGAAUUCAUUGGGAAAAAUGUUUCUUCUAAAUUAAGGGAAAAUGUUUUCCACUUUUAAAAAGUGAAAAACAUUUUCUUCACUCGAUCUCUCUUAUCUUACACCUCUAAAAAUCUCUACUUUAUCCUCACAUUUCUUUUUCUUCUUUUCUUUUUUUAAUUCAAAUUAUUUUUAAUUUCCUUUUUAUUUUAUUUUUAAUUUUUCUUUAUUUUUCUUUUUCUUUUCUUUGUUUCCCAUCUUUUCUUUCUUGGCUAGUUGUCAGUCAUUACCAAGCGAAUCUCGAGUUCGUCAAUCUUAAGCUCACACUCUGUACUCUUACUUAUCAUUUUCUUUAUUUACUCUAUCCUGCAGUUGUAUAUUGCUCAAACAAAUGGCUCUACAUGCUUUGCUUCUUUUUUCUUUUGUUUAUUAGAACACAAAAGACGCAUGAGAGAACAGGCCACUCAACUGGAAGAUUCUCAUUAGGGCUGUACAUGCUUUGCUUCUUUUCUCUUUUACUUCUUUUUAAAAUCCAUACAGACAUUUUUUAGAGUAGAUGAGCGUUUGACAACAAUGAGGGAACAAAGAUAUGCUCGAAUUUAAAUGCAAGUUCAUAUUUGAUGGGUUUAUAGGUCGGUAAGUGAUGCAUGCCUAAGUGGUGAAGUCUUAGAAAAUAUUUUCCUUACCAAACACCGAAAAAUAAUUUUCGAAACAUUUUCAAGUUUUAGCUUAACACUAGAAAAUAUUGUAAUUUUCCUAGAAAAUGAUUUUUGGAAAAAUAUUUUCCGGAAAUGACCAAUUUUUCACGAAACGAACGGACCCUUAGUCUCGGGAGUUUCUAUGUUACAUAUGAUCUAGUCCUUCAACUUUUCUAUUUGUAUACACUCAAAUCUUUUGUCAUAUUCAGUUUUUAUGCAGUUAAGUUUUAUUUUGUUCAUUCAAAUCAUUCAAUGUUCUCGACUAGUGCAAUUGAGUGCUUCACUCACCCAUCAUAACACACAAUUCCAUUUUUCUUUUUCCAAGUUUGCUUUUCGCUCAUUUGGCACCACCUCAACAUUGUGCGAUAUUUUCUACCUCAAUGAUAAUACUAUGUUAUUGAUUACUAUGACACAUUCAGCAAGAGGAUUUACUGAACGAUUUAAUUGCACGAAUCAAGAAAGUUAGAAGACUUGAUUGAACAAAAUAUAAAGUUAAGAGGAUCAAAUUGUGCCGAUAUGGAAAUUUGGAUGACUAAAAUUGCAUCAAACCCUUUUAUAGGGAGAUGGGUCAGCCACAAUAACAUAUUCUUUUUCAGUGACUGGCUUUGACACAACCAAUGCAACAUUAGUACGAAAAUGAAAGAUGAGUGGACAAAAGAAGGGCAACAGAUGUUAAACGAAACCUGUUUCCCAAAAGCACCAUGCAGAAACUUCCUUUCAUUGGAAAAUUUUUCUUGAAACGGAACUAAAGAUUACUGGCUUCGACAUAACCGAUGAACAUACCAAGAGCUGAGGCCUUAUCCAACAACAACGUGAAAAUGAAAAAUGAGUUGAAAAGAAUGGACAGCAGCUGUCAAAUUAAACAUUUUUUCCAUGUCUCGUUCAGAACUUGUCACUCCUUCAUUACAAUCUUGACCCUUUUGAAAUUGGAAGUGAAGGUUACUGGCUUCGACAUGACCAAUGUAUAACUUGUCGCUCAUGCAAUAUGGUAUAUAGAAAUGAAAGAUGAGUAGAAAAAGAAAUGGACGAUUGCUGUCAAAUUAAAACCUUUCCCAAGUCAACUUGUCGCUCCCCUUCCUUCCAUUAAAAUGCUUUUAUGGUGGAACUGAAGAUUACUGGCUUUGACACAACCAAUGUAAACCCUCCAAGAGGUGAGAGAACUUAUGCAAAAGUAUAAAAAUGAAAGACGAGUCAAAAAGAUGAGGACAAUAACCAAAUGCGUGCAACUCAAUUGCACUUUUUGAUAAGGAUAAACUGCACCUCUCCUCAUCAUUGAAAGAGAUAGGAUUAAACGCAGACGUGAUUGACAUAGAGAUUCUUACUAGAAAUUAAAUAAAAAUAAGUCUUUCUUGGUAACAGGAUGUUUGUUCUCGUGACCGUGUAGGUCUUUCUAGGUUCUCUGACGCGUGCCAUGAGGUCAUGGCAUGUUAUGCAACCAGAGAUAUCCAUUCCAUAUUUCUAUGGUAUCUAUCCAUCGUUACCUCCCGUGAACCUAAGAAGAACAAAACCAAUCCAUAAAGCUGGAGGAUCAAGAACAACCCGCCCUAAGUUAUUGAUGAACUGAGUUAACUGUUUGAAGCCUAAGUAGCGAAUCAUUUAAAGUUUAAGCUACUAAAAUGUCAGAUGCCAAACAGAAGGAAAAUCUACAGAGCCAACAUCUGCAUCGGAUCAACGAUGGCAUAUCAACAACUAAGGGAAAAAUCUGCUACUAAAUAUUUAUCUGAAACUAUAAGCGAGGAUCACGUUGCACUUGCAUAAGUCUGUUAACGCAGGUCAAUGGUCAUGUUCUGGCCAGCUAUGUAAGAAGUUUGAAAACUCUACACGGACAGGCACCAUUUGCAAGAAGACCUGUUCCCUCAAAUGCUCAUCUUUGUACUGAGCUGGAAAUGCUUUUAGCAGAUGACUGUGCCUCCAGAAACAAAUCGCAUGAAGUGGCCCACAAUUCUCUGGCAAGUCCAGUGUCGUACGAAACUAAAGAAGAGUUGAUAGUCCGGCCCUUCCCACCAAAGAAUACACACCAGAAAUUUCCUAUAUUUGCAAGACAGCGGCUAUUAGUAAGCACUGUUCCAACAUAUAAUAGCAGCCGCAUAAGAUUGAUACCACAGAUUAUCAGCAGAGAAGGGAAAAUCAAUUCUGGAAACACUCUGUCAUACCGUAGAAUCAACAUUAAUGGAUUUUACGUCCAAUGCUAGUACGACCUCAAUUGAGGAUAAAACGAGAGAGACUCAUUCAAGAUGGUUCAGAUAAGUGAAGCACCAGUACAGGAAUGCUUUACACCAGCCCCAUUUAGUGGGAAAAAAUCACUAUCACCCAUAUCUGCAGCUGUGGUUGCCUAUUGAGAUGAAACACAAGUGAUUUCAUUGCAGUCCCAUCUAGCAGUCCCAUCUAGCAUAUAGCAGAAAUUAAAGAUAACGAUUGCAGUCAGAAAAACACAUAAGAGAAUUGUUGCUGUAACUCUCGUUACUUUAUUCAUCAGAACAUAAGCCUAUUAAAUAGGCAGAACAUCCAAACCACUUAGCAAGAAAAUAGCUAUAGAACAACAACAACAAAGACCCACUAACACACCCCACUGACCAGAACAUGUGGAGAAACUAACUCCUAAAAACAAGCCAUUUCCUAUUGACUAGGACUCCACUAUUACAUUAUUGAAGACAUGUAAAAACUGAAAGUUAACUACUUCAACAAUUGAUGGUGUCACUUCAAGGAGUUCUCAAUGUCGAUCACGAAUCGAUACUUAACAUCUCUCUUGAUGAGCCUCUCUAGAGCUUCGUUGGCAUAAUCGAUCGGUAUCACUUCGAUAUUUGGGUAUAUCUUCUGCGCUGCACAUAGGUCUAUCAUUUCUUGGGUAUCCUUUGUUCCUCCCGUUAGGCUACCUGAAACAGUUCUCAUAUCUGCCAAAAGUUCACCACGAGCAACUUAGUUCACCUAUCAGGUAUAAAAUUUCAUUUAGUAAUCAGAUUUAAAACAAAAACAUACUGAGGUUAAGGCUGGCUGGACUGAAUUUAACUUCGCUUGAGCCGACCAAUGCUAGAAUGCCACCCGUCUUCAAAACAGACAUGUAAGGAUCAAACGGGUGAUUGCCGGAUGCCGUGUCAAUUAUAAAGUCCAGGGACUUAGCAAUGGCCUGCGUGCAUUGGAUUUAUCAGAUCACAACAGAAUUUGACCACCAUGGAUCUCAAUGUGGAUAAUUCUAGUUUUUCCUCUUUUUACCUUCAUCUGCUCUACGUCAGAUGAGAUAACGAAAUGGUCAGCCCCAAGCAGGCUCAGUGCUUCCUCCUUUUUAGAAAUGCUUGUACUAAACACUGUGACUUUCAGUCCAAAAGCCUUCCCAAACUUAACUGCCAUAUGACCGAGCCCGCCAAGUCCAAUUACACCUAGAGACUUACCAGGUUGGUUCAUCUUGUGACGUAUCAUUGGAGUGUACACCGUGAGUCCAGCACAGAGCAAUGGCGCUGCUAGAUCCAUCGGGUAGUUUUCUGGAAUCCUGAAGCAAUACCUGUCAAUGAAGCACCACAAUUAAGUUUCCAAAUAACACCAAGAGAGGAAGUGAUUUCCCAAUAGAAUCAGCAUCCUGUCUUUUUUGUCUAAAAGGAAUCAAAUCACAGAGCCAGAAAUCCUAUCUUCCGCAUGCUAAGGAAUUUUACUUGCUUAGACCACAAUUCAGCAUCAUGUUGUUUCCGUGAUCCUUGUUCUGACCACAAAUUGCUCAAGACAAACAUUUCUUGCUGUAGCAACAAAAAUAAAGCAAUUGCAGCAUACCGGAGGCCACACUCGAUUAAAAUUAAGAAAAGUCACUUGCUCUAAGAAAGGAAACUGGUGGCAUAUCACAUAUGCUUGAUUGAACACGUAAUUUCUGUAUUUCCUUCAAUCAAUUUCUCCAAGGGAGUCAAGAUUCCUGUGGUUCUAUCAGAUACAAGAAUUAGUGAAAGCACAUACAUUUAACUACCCAUUUGAUCUGAUACUUAUGAUCUAACUUUAACAAUCUAAGGACAGCUUAUUCCAUUCUUGACGAUGGUUACUGAAAAGAAAGAAUUUCUUUUUGCAUUUAAUAAAGCCAAUUCUCCAUUGAAUGGUUUCAAUGGUAAUUGGAUACAAAGGACUUAAAGACCCUCCAAAGCAGUUAUAGAAAGUAUCUUUAUCCCUUUCCACAUGAUGCAUUAUGCCACUUCUGGUCACAAUCAGAAUACGAAGAAAAUUAGCAGAGAAGAAGACAUGACAUGAAAUCUUUUUUUGGCCACCAUGAUUUGAAAUUCUUUCACAGUGCAAAAUGCUGCCUAAUAACAUUGUGUCAAUAAGCAAUUACCUUUCAUGGACGACAAUGUGACUAGAAUAUCCUCCCUUUGUCACUGUACCGUCCGUAUCGAUUCCGUCAAAAGUCAAAACCAUCUUUUCACAGUGGACUUCUAGCCCGUCAUUGCAAUACUCGCACUCUCUGCAUGAAUUGACAUAAGUUCCCACACCCACAUGAUCGCCAACUUUGAAGCGUUGGACACUGGAGCCAACCUGUUUCACAAUUCCAACUAUCUCGUGCCUGAAUCAAUCAAAAAAAUCAUUCGCAAAUUUUGUUCAGAGAAUUAUUAGGAUGGUGCUAAGAAAAAAGAUUAACAUUCGAAUCACGCUGCAUCCUACCCUGGCACCAGAGGAUACUUGGAGCGUCCCGACAUAUUCCUAGUCCAACCCACAUCUGCAUAGCACACUCCACAGUGCGUGAUCCUAAUCGAGACGUCAUCGCUUCCCACGGUCCUAAAGAGAGAAUUCCCAAACAGGUGAGCAUCUAAUCAAGCAACUAAUCAGACUCAGUUACCUUUUGUUCUCAUUUUCCAGAUCAAUAAACUAAGCGUGGCUUACAAUAAUCAUACAUUCAACCCAAAACAAAUUUUAAGAAAAGAGAAAUGAAAAGGAACCAAAUCCAAGACUAUAGCAUUUGUCUGAAUAGUGCGUACAACCUCAAAUGCUCACAAAGGCAGCACCUGAAUCCUAAUGUCUGCCAUGAAGUUCUAAGCAACUCAUUCUGGGACAUGACAUAUCAUGCGUACGAACAAUUCUCUACCCAGAAAUUAGUGCAUACACAACACAAUUUAUAAAAGAAAAACGAAAUGGUUUGGUCAAUGUGGAAAUUUAAAUAUAUGACAAGCAUCAAAAACUGUUUUGCAUUACAGGUGAGAGGAUAAGACCUGAGAACACUUUAUUGAGACUUAUUCAGACAAAUACUUCAAUAGAAAUUGAAAGUAUAAGGAGCAGAUGAAUUAAAUAAAGAACAGUGGUAACAGUAAUACCUGCGGCUGAAUUUGUAGGGGGAGAGAAGUCCAGAAGGAUCUCUGGCAGCCCAACCAAGACAAUCUUCCUUCGCACCCUCUGAACUCAUCGUUCCUCAACGACCUCAACUGAAAUCGACCCACAAAAAAAUUGCUGCGUUAAUCUCUCAAUAAGCUGAAUUAUGGAAGAAGAAGAAGAAUUAUUUUCGUGAAAGAGAAAUGAAGAAGAGAAUUUCAAACCGAAAAACAGAAGUUCAAAUGGUCAAAAGGCCAAAUGUCACGAAGACUUGGCAAUUCCGUUUCCGUGCAGACAAGAUUUUGCGGUCUGACUUUUGAGCAAAGAGCGAGAUUAGCAGAGAACGAGGUUGAGCGCUCAAAAAUAGUAAAAUUGGUUUUGUGUUUUGUGUUUUGAUUAGCAUAUUUGUCUUUUAAUUGUUUUUUGGCUAUGUGUGUAUAAGCAAGAGUUAUUCGGUUUGUAAACCGUCAAAGAAACGUGUGCUACAGCACCACGUCUCUCUAAGCCGCCGGAGAAGAAAAAUCAUGAAGAAAGUACAAGUAUCUUGGGCACACAAUAAAAUAUUAGUCUUGGCUAGCAAUAUUUUAUUCUCUCUGAAGACAGCAAGAAGAAGAGAUACGCAGCCCACGUUUUUUGACUGCCAAGAAGAAAAGUUCAACUUUAACUCUUGCACGUUUGAAGUCCAUGCGGUGAAGUGCUUUUAGAUAUAGGGUUACGUUAGUUUAGUGUGUGUGAGAGAGUGAGAGAGUGAGAUUUUAGAGAGAGUUUUAAGCUUAGCAAAGUUAGUGUAUGUACUCUCUUAAGCCUUUAUAAAAGCAUAUUGUGUAAUAUAAUCUCUCUAUGUGUGUACUCUCUCCCUCCAAGUCCUUUUGGUUCCAACAAUUGGUAUCAGAGCUAGCAAUGGCAUCCACUGGUUCUGUUCAGUUGCAACUUCCAAAGUUGAACGGAAAAAAUUACAACAACUGGUCCGUCCAGAUGAAGGUUCUAUUCAGGUCCCAAGAUUUGUGGAACCUGGUGGAGAACGGCUACACCGAAGUAGCUGAUGCUGAAGAAUUCAAUGCUUUGAGGAAGGAGGAGAAAGAAGCGUUGGUGGAAUCUCGAAAGAAAGAUCAGAAAGCAUUAUAUGCGAUCUUUCAAGCUGUGGAGGAGACGAUAUUUGAAAAAAUAUCGAGUGCGGAGACAGCGAAAGAAGCGUGGGAUAUAUUGCAAAAAUCCUACAAAGGCGAUGAUCGUGUCAGGCGGGUGCGGCUCCAAACACUUCGAGGAGAUUUUGAGUCUUUAUGCAUGAAUGACUCAGAAUCUAUCUCGGCUUACUUUGAUCGUGUACAAACCAUCGUUAACCAACUGAGGGUUAAUGGUGAAGAGCUCCAAGAUGUAUGAGUCGUAGAAAAAAUCUUGAGGUCUUUGACUGAAAGAUUUGACUACGUUGUUGCGGCAAUCGAAGAAGGCCAAGAUAUAUCAACCAUGACGUUGGAGAGGUUGAUGGGUUCAUUAUGUUCGCAUGAGCAAAGAAUGAACCAGAAGUCUAUCAGUUCGAAUUCUGAGCAAGCACUGCAGAGUCGGGUCACUCAAUCAAAUCGAGGAGGUCAUCAUGGUGGCAGAGGUCGUGGAGGUCGUGGAGGUGCUGGAGGUAGAGGUGGAAAUCUGAAUUCCACUAAAAGAUAUAAAACACGUGACAAAUCAAAAGUCAAGUGUUUUAACUGUAACAAAUUCGGACAUUACAAAUCCGAAUGUCAAGCAAACAUGAGGCAAGAGCAGCCAGAAUAUGUGCACGCUGUCGAUGCAAAUGAAGGCGUGGUGUUAGCAUACCAAAUGGAUGACUCAAGUACCAUGGACACAAAAAUUUGGUACCUUGAUACUGGGUGCAGCAAUCACAUGUGUGGUCAAAAGGAGCUAUUUUUGAAGUUAGAUGAGACGGUCGUGGUGAAGUCAACUUCGGGAAUAAAUCCAAAAUUCUCGUGAUGGGCAAAGGUAACAUUGAUAUCAACUCAAAAGAUGGUACUAAUGUUACUAUUGCAGACGUUUACUUUGUGCCGGAACUCUUUUGGAAUUUGCUGAGUGUUGGGCAACUAUCCGAAAAAGGCCACAAAGUUAACAUUGAAAAUGGUGUGUGCACCAUUAGAGGCGCAAACAAUAAGUUGAUUACGACGACACAGAUGAUGAAGAACCGGAUGUUUCCUCUAUCCCUUCAGACGAAGACUCUAUUGAGUUUCCAAGCAACGACAAAAGAUAGCAAGUGGCUAUGGCAUCUUCGGUUCGGUCAUCUAAAUUUUCGUGGACUUAAAUUACUAGUCCAGAAAAAGAUGGUGACUGGCAUGCCCUUGAUCGACGCUCCAGACCACUCAUGUGAAGGAUGUCUCGUUGGAAAGCAACAUCGGAAAUCUUUUCAAAUUGGGAGAGCUAGAAGAGCCAAGCAACCUCUGGAGUUGGUACAUACAGAUAUCUGUGGCCCUGUUGAGGUGGAAUCAUUUGGACAAAAAAGGUACACGCUAAUUUUUGUCGAUGAUUUUACUAGAAAAACAUGGGCUUAUUUUUUGAGAGAAAAAUCUGAAGCUUUUGGCAAAUUUAAAGAAUUCAAAGUCUAUGUUGAGAAACAGAGUGGCUUUAAUUUAAAGACAUUGAGAUCGGAUAGAGGUGGAGAGUUUACUUCCAAUGAAUUUGACAAUUAUUGUAAAAUUCAUGGAGUGAAACGUCAGUUGACUGCUAGCUAUACUCCUCAGCAAAACGGUAUAGCAGAAAGAAAGAAUAGAACAAUUUUUGAAAUGGCAAGAAGUAUGCUAAAGGCUAAAGCAUUACCGAAGAAGUUUUGGGCAGAAGCCGUUGCUUGUGCUGUAUUUGUGAUGAACAGGUGUCCAACAAGGAGUGUUCUUGGAAGAACCCCAGAAGAGGCUUGGAGCAGCAACAAGCCAGAUGUUUCGUUCCUACGGGUAUUUGGGUGCGUAGCAUAUCCCCAUAUACCGGAUGAACGAAGAAAAAAGUUGGAUGAUAAAAGCGAGAAGUGCAUUUUCAUUGGAUAUAGUAAUGUGACUAAGGGUUAUAAGCUAUAUAAUCCUGUCACGGAGAAGGUAAUUAUUAGCAGGGAUGUCCAAUUUUUUGAAGAUGAAGCCUGGGACUGGAAUCAAAAGGCUGACCAGAAAGACAUUACUAUGGAAGAUGAACCAUUAGUGAGGGAGACCGAAGAAUCUUCAAUUGAAGAUCCAUCACUUUCACCUGGUAAUUCAUCCUCCUCACCAGCAAAGACUGCAGAACCAUUGAUUCGUCGUUCACAACGACCGCAGAAGACGCCAGUAAAAUUCAAGGAUUAUGUGGUCACAAGAGUUGAUCAUAAUGACAGUGACGAAAUCACUGAUGAAACAAUGGUAAACUUUUGUUUAUUUACCGAAUGUGACCCCAUAUCCUAUGAUGAUGCAGCAGCAGAUGAGAAGUGGAACCAAGCAAUGGAUGAAGAAAUCCACUCCAUUGAAAAGAAUGACACGUGGGUGCUAACUUCUUUACCACUUGGUAAGAAGCCUAUAGGUGUCAAGUGGGUGUACAAAACAAAGUGCAAACCCAACGGUCAGGUGGACCGUUACAAAGCUAGACUGGUGGUGAAAGGCUACAAGCAAAAGCCAGGUAUUGAUUAUUUUGAAGUAUUUGCACCAGUGGCUCGAAUGGAUACCAUUCGAAUGAUCUUGGCACUUGCAGCUCAGAACCAUUGGAAAAUCCAUCAAAUGGAUGUGAAAUCGGCAUUCCUUAAUGGUUUUCUCGAUGAGGAAGUAUAUGUGGAGCAACCACAAGGUUAUGUGAAGAAAGGGCGUGAAAAUCAAGUUUAUAAACUGAAAAAAGCGUUGUAUGGGCUAAAACAGGCACCUCGAGCUUGGUACACGAGGAUUGAUACUUACCUGUUGGAGCAUGGCUUUCAAAAGUGCCCUUAUGAGCAUACACUGUAUAUCAAAUCAAAUACUAACGGCGAUAUUAUAAUUAUUUGCCUUUAUGUUGAUGAUUUGAUAUUUACAGGAAGCUGUGAGAAGAUGUUUGCUGAAUUCAAGGAGGCCAAGACAAGUCAAUUUGAGAUGACAGAUUUGGGAUUAAUGUCCUAUUUUCUGGGCCUUGAAGUGAAGCAGACAAAUGAAGACAUAUUUGUUUCACAGCAGAAGUAUGCUAAUGAUAUUUUGAAGCGAUUCAAUAUGGAAAUGCUCAAAUCAAUUCGAACUCCUGUAGCAGAACGGUUGGAGUUGAGGAAAGAAGGAACCGGUGAACUGGUAAAUCCCACUUAUUUUAAAAGUAUUGUUGGCAGUUUAAGAUAUUUGGCUACCACUAGGCCAGAUAUAACUUAUGGCGUGGGAAUUAUUAGUCGGUUUAUGGAGAAACCAUACCAAUCACAUUUGCAAGCAGCAAAAAGAAUUUUAAGGUAUGUCAGUGGAACUCGUGAUCAUGGAAUUUUAUAUUCUUACACUGACAACUUCAGUUUAGUGGGGUAUACAGACAGUGAUUGGGCAGGUGAUACUGAAACACGGAAGAGCACUUCCGGAUAUGCGUUCUUUCUUGGAUCAGGAAUAAUUUCUUGGUCAUCAAAGAAACAACAAGUUAUUGCACUCUCAACAGUUGAAGCAGAAUACAUUGCAGUAUCUUCAGCAGCAUGUCAGGCGAUGUGGCUUCGAAGGAUGCUUUUUGAGCUUAUGCAUGAACAAAAAGGUCCUACUAAAUUGAUGUGUGAUAACAAGUCAGCGAUUGCAUUGGCCAAGAAUCCCGUAUUUCAUGGCAGGAGCAAACAUAUCGACAUCAAGUAUCAUUAUAUUCGUGAGCUGAUUAAAGAAUGUGAGAUUGAACUUGAUUUCUGUAAAUCCGAAGACCAGAUUGCAGAUAUUUUGACAAAACCAUUGAAGGCAGAUUUGUUCGAGAAAUUGAAGACAAUGCUUGGUGUCGUAGUCUUACAAAAUCAAUUUUAAGGGAGGCUGUUAGAAAAUAGUAAAAUUGGUUUUGUGUUUUGUGUUUUGAUUAGCAUAUUUGUCUUUUAAUUGUUUUUUGGCUAUGUGUGUAUAAGCAAGAGUUAUUCGGUUUGUAAACCGUCAAAGAAACGUGUGCUACAGCACCACGUCUCUCUAAGCCGCCGGAGAAGAAAAAUCAUGAAGAAAGUACAAGUAUCUUGGGCACACAAUAAAAUAUUAGUCUUGGCUAGCAAUAUUUUAUUCUCUCUGAAGACAGCAAGAAGAAGAGAUACGCAGCCCACGUUUUUUGACUGCCAAGAAGAAAAGUUCAACUUUAACUCUUGCACGUUUGAAGUCCAUGCGGUGAAGUGCUUUUAGAUAUAGGGUUACGUUAGUUUAGUGUGUGUGAGAGAGUGAGAGAGUGAGAUUUUAGAGAGAGUUUUAAGCUUAGCAAAGUUAGUGUGUGUACUCUCUUAAGCCUUUACAAAGGCAUAUUGUGUAAUAUAAUUUCUCUUUGUGUGUGUACUCUCUCCCUCCAAGUCCUUUUGGUUCCAAUAGCCAUAGCGUCGCCUGUUCUUGAUUUUUUUUUUUCGUUUUAUCUUGUGGAAAAGAAUUAGUGCCAAACGUAAGCCAUUACCUUUCCCUAGCCAAUGAAGUAUGCAGUGACGUCUUCUGGAGUACGGUUCUUGGUAUUUGUGGAAAUGUGUGUUUGAUGUGUAUUUUGUGUGUGAACUAUCAAGAGAGCAAAAGAACUAAGAAACAAUGUAAGCAAGAAAUAGUUGGGCAAAAUAAUAAUGGGAAUGUGAAAAAGAGAAUGAGGCUGAGGCAGCAAACGAGAGAAAUUUGAAUGAAAGUCGACAAUAGUGGCUGAAGAAGAAACUAGUAUGUGGACAGAAAGAGUACUUGGAGAAGAAGAAAAUGAGUUGUCUUGUAGCUGUACUAUGGCAGUGAAAAAGUGAAAAAUGUCAUGUCGGUUGUAAUUGCUUACAUAGGCUUAUAGUUCAUUCAUAUGAUGUGUGUGAGGUGAACCCUCCACCUUGUGUGGGGUGAACCUCCACUGUGAGAGGUCUUAGACCUCCACCAUGACCAUAUGAAGAGUGACUAUCAACACCUCCAUUAAAUUAUUUUGUCUUCUUCAAUAAGUUCUUGACAGCUGGAGUUUGAUGAAGAAACUUUGCUUCGUGCUUUCCACUGCUUGCUAUUUCCCAUGCACGUAGACUUCUUUAGCCUAUUCUAGGAUUUCUUCUUCAACUUGCUUUUUCUUACUUGCAUUCCCAUGUGAAUCUUUUAGGUUCAGCUAGCAACCAUCAUUCUCAACAAUUCUAAACAAUCUUCAACAUGGAUGCUGCUACCAACGUUUAUUAAUUUCUAGACAGUUUUAGAGAAAAUGAAUUAUAAUUUCCAACAUAUAGUAUUUUGGAGAAAAAAGUAUUUCAGCAUAACUGUGCAAGGAUUUGUAGAUCACUACAAUAUCACCGGAGGCAAAUAAUUAUCCGUCAUUGACAUGACCAAUAUAGCAAAAAUUCUUUUAAUUGUUUACCUUAGUUUAGCAAGAUCUGCUUAAAUGACAGCCUUGAGUAUCUUCAAUUCCUUUUCUCUUGCCUUCAAAAAGAUAUUGAAAUGCAACGCGGAAUAUCAAGACAGAUUGUCAUUGACAAAGCCGUAAAAGCCUACUCGAUCUGGCAAAACUGGGGACUGUUCUUUCCAACGAUCUUGCCCACCUCGGCAGCUGCUGUGCAAAUGGAUAGGAAUGCAUGCAGAGGGACAAGCUGAUUGUUACCUGCUUUUAGUCGUUCAUUUGAAACUGUAAGAUUCACGUGCCAUAAGAUAGCUAGACAAGCGGGCAAAAAAUGAUGCGCCUUGCACCGAAGGUGGCAAGAGCAAUUAAAUUAAAUUCAAAACAAAAAAAGCUUGAUGCAUAAAAUGAAAAGUCAUCCUUUGAGCGAAUAAAUGACAAAGUAAGUGCAAUGAGAGUCACUAAUGUUCACGCUAGACUUAUGCCAUGACCAUUCCUUAGCCGAGAGAACGUAAGCAGCGACAUCUUCUAGAUAGUGGUUACUAGCAAAUUUUUUUUUUUUAUCCCCAGCCUAAUCAAAUUAUCCGAGUUAUAAGCUCAGAAAGAAGUCAAUGAGCAAUCUACCGCUAGGACCUAUGAAUGGUCAUACGAUGUUGGUUACACAUCUUGUUAGAAUAUAAUAUGCGGAAAUAAUAAAAUCUUGCAAUUUACGUCAACGCACAAAUUCCAGAUAAAUAAACGAGAAAUAAUAAGAACACUAUAAAUUUACUUGAUUCGGUCCGAGUAUCGAUAUCUACAUCCACAAGGAGAGCCAGCAGCAAAUAAUCCAUUAUAAUCGGAAAAUCAAAGUUUACAAUCGCCCACACGCUCGAUUGCUUCCCACACCAAGAUUUAAGCUCAUAUUCAAAGAGUUUAUAAAUAAACAAUUCACUUGGAAAUUAUCCCGCGUUCAAGCUUUAAACAAAACAUUCUACAUACGCCAAAAACAAGAACUCGGGCAUUUGUCUUUUGGUUCGCGUACGUACGGAUUCGCGUUCUUCUUUGCUCGAUCGUUCGUGCGGCGCUGUUCUAGACGCUCCUUUUGUGUGGCUCUUUCUUCUUCGUAGGGCUCCAGCGACUCUUUCUUAAAAAAAAAAACAAAGACGUGUUCUAUUUUAUAUGUGAGCCUAGAGUCUAACAACUUUGACUUUGAGCCCACCAUGUGCUUCUUUCUUCAAUGGGAAGUGGGACGCUGCAGAAGUUAAGACUUUGACUUUGGGCCCACGUAGACAGCCUUGUUCGGCUCCGUUAGAUAGAUAAAGAAGAAUCUUUGCUCCUUUUUUUUAUUCUAUUUUAUUUUCUCUUUUAUAAACUUUCAUGGAGUCCAACGAAGCCUAACGAAGCCUUUUUUGUUGACCGAAAAUAUCCAAGACCCAAAAAGAAUUUCGAAUUUCUUUUUUUGUGCAUAAUCUUGAAUAUUAUCUUCAUCAGAAAAAUAUCUUCACGAUCAAAUAAUAAAAAUUUUAUCCAAACAAAUCGUGUUUUGCAAACACUCAAACUCGAGACAUAAUUUAACACAUCUGACAUGAUGUACUGCCCAAUUACUAUCCUCUGACAAUUUAUAUUUGAUUAAUCUAUUUCAAGAAUAUUCAUUUGUUAGACUUGUUGGCUUACACGUCACUGUCACUGUCACGUGAUAUAUCUUAUAUUGAGAAUACUCAAAGAGCUUUUACUCCAGAUACUUGGGAGCAUCUAUGAUUGUUUUAUGUAUAUUAUGCUUGUGAUGCAUCUUGUUUUGAGUGGACUAUAGAAAUAUUUAAGUUCAUGCCAAUUUGACUAAUAUUUUAUCUGGAUAAGUGCAUUGGAAUAUUUAAAAUUUAUCAUAAAAAUAUAAUUAAGCCAUGAAACUUUGAAAUCAAGUUCUAGAACUUUGUCACAUUGGUCUAAUCUAAAUCCUUCCAUUGCAUUUUUGAAAAUUUUAGUACUUAACUACAAUUUUCUGACAAGUUUUAGUAUUUUUAAUAUACAUAUUUUUUUUCAACCUCACUAAUGUUUUUAAGCAACAAUGAGCUUGACAUAUCUCUGAUUUUGGAAUUUCAAUGGCUAUAGGAAACAAAAGGACGUCCUCUAAUGAAUCGACAAUCUUCUGCCAUGAUAAAGCUGGAAGAGAGAUGAGUGUCUUCCAUAGUUAUAAAAAAUGUUAAUGCGAUAAUCUGUAGGAAUUCGUCUUCCUGACGUGCAUGAAUAUUUCCGGCCAUGAAACAUUUCACAAUGAAGACAUUCUUGUUGUAAUUAUGGUUAUAAUGGAUCAAAGGAAGCCAAUAAAUUAAGAUACGUUUUUUCUGUUCACGUAUCUCUUUUUGGAUUCAUGAAUUUCCUAUACUUUUAUGUUCACGUAUCUAUUGAAUUCAUGAAUUUCUUAGAUUCAUGUAUCGUUUAGUUCAUGUAUUUAUUGAGUUCAUGAAUCUAUUGAAUUCACGUAUCGUUGGAUACCUGAAUCUCUUGGAUUCACGUAUCUCUUUAUUCAUGAAUCUCGUGGAUACACGCGUCUAUUUAAUUCAUGUAUCUCUUUAGUACAUGAACUAAAAAGCUCUAUAAAUAGAUAUGAGCAUAGAGCUUCAUAAGAGUUUUUGGUUUUCCCGAUUCGAUUCCAAAAGGAGCUUUGAUGUCCUUUUCUACUAUUCUGUUUUUCCUGAGUGUGCUGGUUCAAUUGAACGGUUCGACAAAGUCCUGUUUGCAUAGUGCUAAUCCAAACAGGUUCGAGGUGUUGUAUCUUGGAAGGCAUAGUUCGUGAAUCUGCGGGGCACCUUUGGCAGGAACUAAUCGCCUUAAGGAGAUUCGGUUAUCCGUACCUCACCUCCAAUUUUAUGUUAUAUCUUAUUUUCUUCUUCUCCAAGAUUUGUAAAGGGAAUGAAAUUAUAAAGUUGUUAUCAUCUUCUUUACUUUCAUGUUCUGAUUGCAACAAACAAUGUGCUUUCUCUGGAUUAAUUUCCAACAAUCUUAAGGCGAUUAUCUCACACUAUUUGUUGUUCUUGUCAUAUUAUUGAGAUGGCUGGAAACAACCAAGUGCCCUUCAAUGUCCCAAAUGUUUCUGGAGAUGUUCCUAUGGUCGAUUCGACCGUUGCUAUGGAAGAUGUUCAAUCCUCAGGGUCUGAAUUUGUAGCAGCCAAUGCUACGGACCCUUGGGCUAACAUCAAUUUUGGUGGUGCGGGUACAAGUCAUACGACUGGUAUGCCCGGGACUAUUUUUCAUAACAGUACAAGCCAAAUGGCUUUUGGCUCCAUUUCUGGAGGGAUGGUUCAACGAACUUUGCCUACUGUGAUGGCAACGCCUCCAGUUACAGCUAAUGAAAAACUAGAGAAAUUCACCGAAGUGGGCUUUAAACAGUGGCAGCAUAAGAUGUUCUUCUAUCUGACCAUGCUCAAUCUGACGAAAUAUUUAUCGGAGAUGUGCCCGAUAAUUAGUCCAAAUGAGCAAGAUGUCACGACGCUCGGUGCGUUGGAGGCUUGGAAGCAUGGGGACUUCUUAUGCCGAAAUUAUAUCCUUAAUUGUUUAGUGAAUUCUCUUUAUAAUGUUUAUUGUAAUAUUGAAUCUGCUAAAUAGUUAUGGGAGUCCUUAGAGAAAAAAUACAAAACUGAGGAUGCCAGCACCAAGAAAUUUGUGGUUGCCAAAUUCUUGGACUACAAGAUGGUGGAUUCUAAAUCUAUCAUGAGUUAGGUUCAAGAAUUGCAAUUAAUUCUGAGUGACAUCUCGGCUGAGGGAAUGAUACUUAGUGAAUCAUUCCAAGUGGCGACUAUGAUUGAGAAAUUACCUUCGGGUUGGUCAGACUUCAAAAAUUAUUUGAAGCACAAACGGAAGGAGAUGAGCCUUGAAGAUCUCAUUUUGCGCCUCAGAAUCGAGGAGGACAAUAGAAGGAGUGCGAAUCCUUCUUCUGAGCCAAAGGCCAAUGUUGUGGAAUCUUCCAAAUCCAAGCAAGAUAGAAAAAGGAAGAUGUCUUUUCAAGGAAAAGGCAAGCAGAAGGAGCAGUUCCAAAAAUUCCAAGGAACGUGUUUCAUAUGCAACAAGCCUGGCUAUCGUGCUAAGGAUUGCAAGAAGCGCCUGAAAAAAAAGGCAAGAACGAAGGUGCAGCCCAGCAACUGAAUUUGACAGAAUAUGACAAUAUUGAGAGACUGUCUGCUGUGGUAAUGUCCGAAGCAUCUCUGGUGUCGAAUACUAAUGGCUGGUGGCUAGACACGGGUGCCACAAAUCACAUCUGUGCAGAUAAACACAUGCUCUCAUCUUAUGAGAAGGCUGAAGAAGAUGAGAAGAUUUAUAUGGCUAACUCUGCAUCAACAAAGAUUGCCGGAAGAGAAACGGUGAUCCUGAAGUUUACAUCUAGCAAGGAGGUCGCCCUGCUGAAUGUGCUGCAUGUACCAGAGAUUUGGGAAAAUCUAAUUUCUUGCCCUAUACUUGUCAAGAAGGGUUUCAAAAUUGUAUUUGAAUAUGACAAGUUUGUACUUUCAAAAGGAGGGAUGUAUGUGGGGAAAGGGUACUUGUGUAAUGACUUGUUUAAGACCAAUGUGGCUGUCAUUGAUGUAAACUCAAAGUAUGGAGGUUGGGACACCUAGAGUGCCAUAACUUGGCAUGAAAUGACACUUAAGUGCCAUAACUUUAAAAUGGUACACUUAAGUGCCAAUAUCGAAGUAAAAUAGAACACUUAAGUGCCACUCCGGCGAAAAUCCGGCCAAAUGGCUGACGUGGCAAUUUUCCGGCGAGUUUGGUCCAAAACGGCGUCGUUUUGCACCCUGACGUAGCGGAGAAAACGCAAAAACGACACCGUUUCGUGUCUACGUGUAAAUAAUAAUAUAUAAAUUAAUUAAAUUAGAUUUAAAAUAUUCAAAAAAUUAAAAAAAUUGUAAAAUUUUAAAAAAAAUUAAAAAUUAAAUUUAAAAAAUUAAAAAAUUAAAAAUUAAAAAUUAAAAGGGGGGGAGGUCAAACAGGGCAGCUCCCUUUCGUCGCUCACUACGCCCUUCCUCGUCUCUGGGUGCGUAGGUAUCCACCGUAAGCCUUUCCUCGUUUGAACCUCGCCCUUCACUUUAAGGCUAUGCCAUCAUAAGGUGCUGCUAAAUGGAAGGAUCUUAUCAACGUCCAUGAAUGAGAAAUCAUAGAUCGAACUGCCGAAUCGGAAAAAUUUGGUGCUAUCAUAUAGCUUUGUAUCGGCUAAGUUCACGAGUUGGAGAUAAGCGGACUCGAAACCGCUGACAUCCGCCNNNNNNNNNNNNNNNNNNNNNNNNNNNNNNNNNNNNNNNNNNNNNNNNNNNNNNNNNNNNNNNNNNNNNNNNNNNNNNNNNNNNNNNNNNNNNNNNNNNNCCCAUCCGUCGCCGGCCCUUCCCGACGACGGCGGGGAGGCGGCGGCGGCGGCGAGGGAGCCGCCCCGUUCGACCUCCCCCACCCUUUUUUUUUUAAAUUUUUUAAAUUUUUUAAAUUUUCUUUUUAAAAAAUUUUUAAAAUUUUUUGUUUUUAAAAUUUUUGAAUAUUUUAAAUUUAAUUUAAUUAAUUUUUAAAUUAUUAUUUACACGCAGACAUGAAACGGCGUCGUUUUUGCAUUUUCUCCGCCACGUCAGCGUGCAAAACGACGCCGUUUUGAACCAAGCUUGCCGGAAAGUCGCCACAUAAGCCAUUUGGCCGGAUCUUUGCCGGAGUGGCACUUAAGUGUCCCAUUUAACUUCAAAACUGGCACUCAAGUAUACCAUUUUAAAGUUAUGGCACUUAAGUGUCCCUCGGUGCCAAGUUAUGUCACUUGGGCUGUACUUCUGCCCAAAGUAUGUGUACCCAAAAACUAUUAAUAAAGAAAAGUCUUCGGUUUACAUUGUUGUGUCUCCUUAUCUAUGGCAUGGUAGAUUAUGACAUGUAAACUAUGGUACAAUGAAGAGAAUAGCAAACUUGGGGUUAAUUCCAAGAUUUGAGUUGGAUGCCCGUUACAAGUGUGAGACUUGUGUUGAGGCCAAGUUUGCCAAGAAACUUUUCAAAUCCAUUGAAAGAACAAGUGAACCUCUACAAUUAAUCCAUAGUGAUUUAUGUGAUUUAAAGUUUGUAGAAAGUAGAGGUGGAAAGAAGUACUUCAUCACAUUUGUGGAUGAUUGUACUAGAUUUUGCUAUGUUUAUUUACUAACUAGCAAAGAUGAGACUAUGAGCAUGUUUGUCAAGUAUAAAAAUGAAGUUGAAAACCAACUUGAUAAACGAAUCAAAGUGCUUAGGUCUGAUAGAGGAGGAGAAUACAGUUCAAUCAAUUUGAAAGAGUUUUGUGCUAGUUUUGGAAUAAUUCUCCAAACGACUGCACCUUAUACUCCACAACAAAAUGGAGUUGAUGAACGAUUGAACAGGACACUAAAGGAGAUGGCUAAUGCCAUGCUUUUGAGUUCAGGUUUACCUCAGAACUUGUGGGGGGGCAGUUUUAACUGCAGAUUAUAUUUUUAAUGAAGGCUAGGUAAAACUCCAUACGAGUUAUGGAAUGAAAAGUUACCAUCCUACAAUUUUCUAAAAGUGUGGGGGUGCAUAAUGUGAUUUAUAAUGGUAAGUCUAGACAUAUUCGUUGUAGACAUAACACCAUAAGGCAGUUGCUCUCAAAUGGAAUCAUUUCUUUAGACUUUGUAAAGUCAAAGGAAAAUAUUGCGGAUCCGCUGACAAAAGGUUUGUUGAAAGAGCAUAUAAACUGCGCAUCGAGGGGAAUGGGUUUAAGAGCCUUAACCCAAUAAAGAGAUUCCAUGAUGGAAACCUAACCUAUGCGAUUGGAGAUCCCAUGGACUAGGUUCAAUAGGACAACGCAAAUUUUGGAAACUCUAGUGUAAGCAUUGUCUCUCAUUCUUAUGAUGCAACAAUACUUUCCUACAGCGUUAUUAAGGGUACGCUAUGCGUUUAAUGAUUCCUAUAACUUGGAAUGUAACAUCCAAGUAACAUCCAAGUAAGAUAUGGUAGGAUAUCUUUAAUAGGAAUGCACCUAUAUGCGUGGAGCUGGCCGACUCUAUGAAAAUCUUUAAAUGCUAGAUUUUCUAAAGCACGCACGAAUCCCAAGAGGUUCAGGGCCGAAAGAACGAACACAACCGAGAACCAAUCUUGAAUUGGAAAUACUCCGUGUGAGGUUUAUUGUCUAAGCUUACACAAACAACUGGUAAUUCAAGGCUUAGUCCAUCGACUAGUUAAGUAAGUCCGAUAAGCUUUCACUAAAGAAGGUUCAAAGCGAAAGCUACCUAUCUUGAUGCGGUUUAUUUCAACAGGCAUGCUCAGAUUCCUUCGAGUCAAAAAUAUUUUGUUGAUCCAUUAAUGUGGGGGAUUGUUGUAAUUAUGGUUAUAAUUAUAGUUAAUGGAUCAAAGGAAGCCAAUAAAUUAAGAUACGUUUUUUCUGUUCACGUAUCUCUUUUUGGAUUCAUGAAUUUCCUAUACUUUUAUGUUCACGUAUCUAUUGAAUUCAUGAAUUUCUUAGAUUCAUGUAUCGUUUAGUUCAUGUAUUUAUUGAGUUUAUGAAUCUCUUGAAUUCACGUAUCUUUGGAUACAUUAAUCUAUUGGAUUCACGUAUCUCUUUAUUCAUGAAUCUCGUGGAUACACACGUCUAUUUAAUUCAUGUAUCUCUUUAGUACAUGAACUAAAAAGCUCUAUAAAUAGAUAUGAGCAUAGAGCUUCAUAAGAGUUUUUGGUUUUCUUGAUUCGAUUCCAAAAAGAGCUUUGAUGUCCUUUUCUACUAUUCUGUUUUUCCUGAGUGUGCUGGUUCAAUUGAACGGUUCGACAGAGUCCUGUUUGCAUAGUGCUAAUCCAAACGGGUUCGAGGUGUUGUAUCUUGGAAGGCAUAGUUCGUGAAUCUGCGAGGCACCUUUGGCAGGAACUAAUCGCCUUAAGGAGAUUCGGUUAUCCAUACCUCACCUCCAAUUUUAUGUUAUAUCUUAUUUUCUUCUUCUCCAAGAUUUUUAAAGGGAAUGAAAUUAUAAAGUUGUUAUCAUCUUCUUUACUUUCAUGUUCUGAUUGCAACAAACAGUGUGCUUUCUCUGAAUUAAUUUCCAACAAUUCUGUCACUUAAACUGGCAAAAGGAUAUCGAGCUUGUUCUUUUGGCGAGUGUAUUGCCGUUAAAUAUGCCAAUUAAUUCCACGACUAUUAGCAUUUGUUUAAAUAGAGCAUACAACCUAAAAUGCUCACAAUGGCAGCUGGUACUGGAUCCUCAUGUCUGCCCAUGAAAUUCUGAGUGCCUCAGACAUGGCAUAUCAUGCACACAAACAAUUCUCAACCCAGAAAUUAGUGCGUACACAACAAGAGUUAAAAAAGAAAAAAAAAAUGAUUUGGUUAAUGUGGAAAUUUAACAUAAUGACAAGCAUAAAAAACUGUUCAGCAGUACAGUAGAGAGGUCAAGACCUGAGAACACUGUAUUGAGACUUAUUCAGAUCAACACUUCAGAUAGUCACUGAAAAGCUAAGGAGCAGAUGAAUUGAAUAAAGAACAAUGGCGAUGAUAAUACCUGCGGCUGAAUUUGUAGGGGGAGAGAAGUCCUAGAAGCCGUCAUUGAUGCCAUAGCGAUGGAUGUUCAUGAUUAAUCUUUGAGCUUACUAUUGUGGAAAAGUAUUAGUGAUUCGCCAAACGUAACCCAUGACCCUUCCUUAACCAAAGAACGCAUGCAAUGACAUCUUCUGGAGAGCGGCUCCUGGAAUUUUUCCAUCCAUCCUCCCACAACCUAAUUGCAUUAUCAACCUAUUGACACAUAAAAUAUGUCAAUAGGCAAUGUGCCGUUGCACCACAGGACCCGCAAAUGGUCAUCUAUGUCAGUUACACUGCCAAUAAUUUGUACCUGACCCUUCAUGGUCCUAUUAUUCAGUUAAUCUGUUUAAAGAACAUUCAUUUUCUUCAAACAUGCUUUCUCACGUGCCACUAUAAUAUGAUGUGUAUAUACUAUCUCUUCAAGAGCUUUGACUCCUAUAUACUUGGGACAUUAAAUUUUUUUAGCAACAAUGAGAUCGGCAUAUCUCUGUUUUCGGGAUUUCAGUUGCUAAGGGAAACAAAAAGGACGUCCUCUAAUGAAUCAACAGUAUUUUGCUAUAACAAACCUGGAAGAGAGAUGAGUGUCUUACGUAGUUACAAAAACAAUGAUCACGCAAUUGUUGGUAGAAAUUUAAUCUGUUGACGUGCAUGAACAUUCUGAACAAAAAACGGAAAACGUGCAUGAACAUUUCCGGCCGGGAAGCAUUCACGAGGAGCUGAGAGGCACUCUAUUUCUUAAAGCAGCAAAAUGAUUACGAGCUUGUUCUUUUGGUGAGUGGAAUGAAUAAAUUGUACAAAAAAUCCUAAACUUAUUGUCCGAUCACUAAUUUAAUUCUGAACUUUUUAAUUUGAUCAAUGUUUUUAAAAACUUUUGACGAUUUUUUGUAGUCCACCUAGUUAAAUUUAGGUCGAAAAUCAGUGAUGGAGCAAUUUAGUAAACACUAGCCGUUUUAAGUGAUAUAACCGAUAGCUGAUAUAGAUGAUCUUAAAUGAUGUGGCGUCGUUUCACAAUUUUUUAAUAUUCUUUCUUCUUCUUUUUUUUCUUUUUUAGUAAUUUUUUUCCUAUUCUUUGGUUCUCUUGUGUUCAUUUUCUUCCCUCCGCCGAUGGCCGAUGCCUCAGCAAUGAUCGGCGACCAUCAUAGGCUACAAGUGAGGGCAUUGAGCGAGACUUGCAAGCCUUCUCCUAGAUUUGGGCAAGGGCCCUAUAGGCCCUCACUGGCCGUAGGCAAGGUUGGGAACUUGCAAGCCCUUGCCUAGAUCUACCCUCGCAUGGGGUCAAUGCCUGCCAUCACCAAAGCCUCAAUGUCUUGCUCUGGAAAGAAAAUGAACAGCAGAGAAGGAGACGAUAGGAAAAGAAAGAAAAAAGAAAAAAAGAGGAAAGGAAAAAGAAAAAAAUCUGAAAAUAAUAACAAAAAAAUUGCAAAAUGACGUUGUUUCAUUUAAGAUCAUCCAUGUCAAUCGCCAAUCAUGCAACAUGGCCUACCUUGUUGGAUGUAGUAGAUUUAGGAUAUUUUGAAUAUUUUUCUCCUAUUAAAUAUGCCUAGUUUAUUUGAUAUCCUAAAAUUUGUCAACUUUGUGAAAUCAAGUUUUAAAAUUUGUUGGCAUUUUUUUCAUAUUGGAUGAAGUUAAUGAAAUGACUUGAUUACAACUACUUGAUAAGUUUUAUGACUUGAUUGUAAUUUUUGAAAAUUGUAGACUCAAUUGCAUCUCUGUAAUAAGUUUUAAAACUUGAUUACGCUAUCUAAAAAUUUUAAGAUUUUCAAAAUACUUAUCCCUAAAAUAAAAGAAAAAGGGCCUACCCCCUUUACAUGAACUCUUUACUUUAAACGCACCAUGGAAUUUCCUGUCCUUUUACACAGUUUCAUUAACUAAGAAUUUUAUUUUUUUUUGGGUUAAAACCAAGAUUUAGUUCUUUUUUUUUUUUUUUUUUUUUGGGACCAGCCAAGAUUUAGUUCAAAGAUAGAUAUUUUGAGGAGAAAAAAAAAUUCAGCAAACUAGGCAAGGAUUUGCAAAAGAUCGUAACAAUAUUACCGGAAGCAUAUAAUUAUUUAUCACUGACGAAUGAUAUAGUAAAAAUUAUUUUAGUAGUUUACCUUAAGUUUAGCAAGAUCUGCUUAUUCGGUAGCCUUGAGUUUCUUCGAUUCCUUCUCUCUUGCCUUCAAACAGAUAUAGAAAUGGCAACGCAGAAUAUCAAGAUAGAUUGCCAUUGACAAAGCUGUAAAAGCCUACUCAAUCGAGCAAAACUGGGACAGUUUUUCCAGCGAUCUUGACCACCUCCGUAGCAUGCCGUGGAAAUAGAUAGGAACACAUGUAGAGGGACAAGCUGAUUAUCACUUGCUUUUAGUCAAGCAUUCGAAACUUUGAGAUUCAUGCACUAUAAGAUAGCUAGACAAGCAAAAAAAUGAUGGGCAUUUCAGUUGAGGUGUCGAGCAAUUAGAUUGAAUUCAAACCAAAUAAAGCUUGACGCAGAAAAGAGAAAUGUUGUGCAUUGAGCGAAUAUAUGACAAAAUAAGUGCAAAGAGAGUCAUUGAUGUUCUAGCGCUUUGGCCAAUUGAGUUCUUAAAAUUUUACUUUGCUUAAUCGAAUCCUCGGCAUUUUCAAUUUCAGUCAAUUGAGUCCCUCAACCUUGAUCCUCGGAAAUAGUCACAUGGCUAUGAUUUUCCAAGUUGAUAAGAAGAUGCUCGAGAAGAAAACCGGGUAGGAGGUGAAAUGGGACCUAAGUGCAAGUUUUACUAUUUCAGUAACUACAAUUGAUCUGACAGAAGGUUGAACUUUCAUGGAUCUGGCACUUCGUUUGAAGCUAUACAAACAGAAAUCAGCGGGCUCACGAAGCCAAUCUUUUAGACAGUUUCUGAAGUAUCACACAGAAAAGCACUAGGAUAUCUUUACACAUUCUCUUAUUUCCUCUAUAAACUCACAGUUAUUAGAGUAUAUUAGGCAUCAUUUAUUUGUAGUACAUUAGGUACAGAUGUCCUCUCUCUGAAAUUCCCUCUUUUCCUCUUCUUACGAUUAGCUUUGCCAGAAGAUGUUUCCAACUUCCGACAUUGAUGAUGUCAUUUCAAGGAGUUCUCAAUGUUUAUCACAAAUCGGUACUUAACAUCUCUCUUGAUGAGCCCCUCAAGGGCUUCAUUGGCAUAAUCGAUCAGUAUCACUUCGAUUUCUUGGUGUAUGUGCUGUGGCGCACAGAGGUCUAUCAUUUCUUGGAUAUACUUCAUUCCUCCAGUAGCGCUACCCAAAACUGUUUUCAUACCUGCAAAAAGUUCAUUAUGAGCAACUUAGUUCGUUCGCCUAUCAAGUAUCAAUAUUUCAUUCAGUAAUGAGCUUUGAGAACAAAAACAUACCGAGGUUAAGGCUUGCCGCACUGAAUGUAAUUUCGCUUUGGGACCCAACCAACGCUAGAACGCCACCCGUCUUCAAAAGAGACAUGUAAGGAUCAAAUAGGUGAGCAGCAGAUGCCGUGUCGAUUAUAAAAUCCAGGGACUUAGCCAUGGCCUACAUGUAUUGGAACCAUCAGAUCACGGCAGCAAUUGACCUCCAUGGAUCUAAAGUACUGAUAAUUCCAGAUCUUCCCGUUUGCCUUCAUCUGUUCUUGGUCAGAUGAGAUGACGAAAUGGUCAGCACUCAGCAAGCUCAGUGCUUCCUCCUUUUUAGAAUUGCUUGUACUAAACACAGCGACUUUCAGUCCAAAAGCCUUCCCAAGCUUAAUUGCCAUGUGACCGAGCCCACCGAGUCCAAUUAUGCCGAGAGACUUACCCGGUUGGCUCAUCUUGUGACGCACCAUUUGAGUGUAUACUGUGAUUCCAGCAUAGGGCAAUGGUGCUGCUAAAGCCAAUGGGUAGCUUUCUGGAAUCCUGAAGCAGUACCUGUCAAUGAAGCACCACAAUUAAGUUUCCAAAUCACACCAAAGGAGGAAGGGAUUUCCCAAUAGAAUUGACAUCCCAUCUUUUUUGUAUAACAGGAUUCAAAUCACAUUUUACUUGCUUAGAGCACAAUUCAACAUCAUGUGGUUUCUGUGAUUCUUUUUUUGACCACAAAUUGCUUAAGAUGAAAACUUCUUGCUGUAGCGACGAAAGUAAAGCCACUACGGCAUACAGGAGGCCAUACUCGAUCAAAAUUGAGAAAAGAGGCUUGCUCUAACAGAGGACACUAGAAGCAUAUUGCAUAUGCAUGAUAGAUCAUGUAAUUUCUCUAUUCCCCUCAAUCAUGUCUCUAAGGGACACGAUAUUCCCGUGACUGUCGGAUACAAGAAUCCGUGAAAGCACGUACAUUUUAUUACCCAUUUGAUCUAACACUUACUAUCUAACUCUUGGAAACAAUCUAAAAAAAGGGAGGAAGAGGAGACAAAAGGCAAGGAUUGAGCAAUUUCCAUCUCUUUCUCUCUUUUAAUUGAGGGUUAAUAUCCUAAACCCCCCCCCCCCCCCAAAACUAGUAUAUAUGUGAUAAAUUUACCCCGACGGACUAUAAAAAAACCCUAAACUUAUAUAUUUGUGACAAAUUUACCAAAAACUAAUUUAUUCAACCGCAAAAAACUUUAAGAUGGUAAAUUUGUAACAAAUAUACCCUCCACUAAAUUGGAUUAAUACCACAAAAAAAAUCACAAAAAUUGUAUACUGUGACAAACGAAGCAUAAAAUCUCAAAUUGGUAUACUAGUCAAUUGGCUUUUUUUUUUGGUAAAGUAUACUAGUCAAUUGUCACGUGUCAUUUAAUUUAAUAAUUUGACGGUAAAAUUUAAUGAAAACUAACAUAUGGUAAAUUUGUCACAAGUAUACCAGUUUAGAGUAAUUUGUCAAACAUAUACCAGUUUGAGGUUUUUUAGGGUAUUCACCCUUUAAUUAAUUUAGUUUUAAAUUUAAUUUUAUUAUUUUUUUAUGAAAAAUUCAUAUGUUAGAUUUAUUGGCUCACAUGUCAUUGUCACUUGAUGUGUAUGAUAUAUAGAAUAGUCCAAGAAAUUUGACUUUAGAUACUUGGGAACCCGCAAAUGGUCAUACAUUGUCGGUUACACAUUCAACAUGAUGUAUUAGCUAAUCAUAGUCCUCUAACGGUUUAUAUUUGCUUAAAAUAUUUCAAGAAUAUUCAUUUGUUAGACUUGUCCGCUCACACACCACUAUCACUUGAUGUAUAUGAUAUGUAGAAUAGUCUAAGAACUUUGACUUUAGAUACUUGGGAGUGUCUACGCUUGUUUUAUGUCUGUUAUGCUUGCAAUGCUUCUUGUUUUGAGUGGACAAUACAAAUAUUUAAGUCCGUGUCAAUUUGAACAACUUUCUUUAUUAUAGAGCAAUAGUCUUUAAUCUAUUGUGUUCUUGACCACAAAAAACCAAGUAACAAAUAAGUAUAAAUUAUUGUAGGGUCCAACGACAAUCUUUAAUCUAUUAUGUUCUUGACCACAAAAAACCAAAUAAUAAAUAAGUAUACAUUAUUAUAGGGCUCACUCCUUUAAAAAUUUGUUGCUCACAACAACUUAUUUAUUCUCAUAAUAACCCAAAGUUAUACUAGCAAAGCUCUUUUGAGUAAGUGUAUUGAAAGUUUUAAAAACUUGUCACUAAAGUGUAUUGAGUCCUAAAACUUUCAAAAUAUGCAAUUUAAUCCUAAAAUUUGUCACGAAAUGCAAUUGAGUCUUAAAAUUUUCAAAAUGUACAAUCAAUUAUAAAGAUUUAUCAAAAUUGGUCCAAUUGAAGUCAUUCCAUUGAUUGCAAUUUUUGAAAGUUUUAGAGCUCAAUACGAUUUCCUAACAAGUUUUAGGACUUAAUUACACUUUUUGAAAAUUUUAAAACUUAACUAUAAUUUAUGAUAAGUUUUAGGAUUUCUAGUACACUUAUCUUCUUCUUUUUUUCACCUCAUUAAUCUUUUUAGCAACAAUGAGCUUGACAUAUCUCUGUUUUCAGGAUUUCAGUGGCUAGGGGAAACAAAGGGAUGUCCUCUAAUGAAUCAACAAUCUUCCUGCCAUGACAAUGCCAGAAGAGAGAUGAGUGCCUUACAUAGUUAUCAAAAAUGUUCAUAUUAUAAUUGGUAGGCAUUCGCUCUGCCAACGUGCAUGAACAUUUCCGGCGAUGAAACAUUCGUGAGGAGCCAGUAAAGACAUCCUAUUAUUUAAACCGGCAAAAGGAUAUCGAGCUUGCUCUAUUAGCAAGUAUAUUGUCGUCAAAUAAUCCUGAUUAAUCCGAUAUUUUCAUACAAAAAAUCGUCAUCGAGGCCAACUUAAUCCAAAAUGCCAAUGGACAGGCUUGGGUAAGCUAGUGGAUAGGUAUGCCGCUUUAUCUUAUGUCGUGUUAUCUCACGCGAGAGAUGGUGCUGCGUUCUCUUUAGAAUGCACAUGACUUGGGAUAGGAAAACCUUAGGAUCCGACAAGGAAGAAGGAAAAAAGCAAUCUAUUGUCGGGCCAAUACAAGAUCAUUUCAUGUCAAUCUCCGCAGUCUUGAGGCCAUGGAAUCUACGACAUACUUGCUCAUUCACAAGGACUGAGCAAAUAAAUAAUAAAAUAAGAGCAUAGGUCAUCAUUGAUCGUCUUCCCUUUGACUGAUUGAAUUCUAAAUAUUUUAUUUUCAAUUGAGGUUUAAAUAUUUUAUUUGAUUUAAUUGACUUCUAAACAUUUCCAAUUUUAGUCAAUCAAGUCCCUCGAAUAUUAUCCUCGGAAAGAGCCACAUGGCUGUGAUUUUCCAAGUGGCUAAGGAGAUGCUUGAGGAGAACCUGUAGGAGAGGCGAAGCCAUUCAAGCAGAACUCUCAAGAAGCCAAUUUUUCAGACAGUUUCUCAAUCAUCACAUAGAAAAGUACCAGGAUUUCAUUACCCACUUCACUUAUUUCUGCUAUAAAACUCACGAGUAUCAAAGUAUAUCAGGCAUAGUUUAUUUGUACUCCAGCAGAGCAAUUAAAAAGGCACAGAUGAUGCUCUCCUCUAGCAGAAACUCCCACUUUUCCUCUGUGUGAUCAGCUUUGCCAGCAACAAUUUCCAACAACCCAAAUUGAUGUUGAAAUUUAAUCAAAUAGACUCAGAGAAGAAAACACACAAGAGAAUUGUUGCUGUAACUUUCGUUACUUUAUUCAUCGGAACAUAAGCCUAUUAAAUAGGCAGAACAUCCAAACCACUUAGCAAGAAAAUAGCUAUAGAACAACAACAACAAAGACCCACUAACAUACCCCACUAACCAGAACAUAUGCAGAAACUAACUCCUAAAAACAGGCCACUUCCUAUUGACUAGGACUCCACUAUUACAUUAUUGAAGACACGUAAAAACUGAAAGUUAACUACUUCAACAAUUGAUGGUGUCACUUCAAGGAGUUCUCAAUGUCGAUCACGAAUCGAUACUUAACAUCUCUCUUGAUGAGCCUCUCCAGAGCUUCGUUGGCAUAAUCAAUUGGUAUCACUUCGAUGUUUGGGUAUAUCUUCUGCGCCGCACACAGGUCUAUCAUUUCUUGGGUAUCCUUUGUUCCUCCCGUUACGCUACCCGUAACAGUUCUCAUAUCUGCCAAAAGUUCACCGCGAGCAACUUAGUUCACCUAUCAGGUAUGAAAUUUCAUCUAGUAAUCAGAUUUGAGAACAAAAACAUACUGAGGUUAAGGCUGGCUGGACUGAAUUUAACUUCGCUCGGGAAGCCGACCAAUGCUAGAAUGCCACCCGUCUUCAAAAGAGACAUGUAAGGAUCAAACGGGUGAUCACCGGCUGCCGUGUCGAUUAUAAAGUCCAGGGACUUAGCAAUGGCCU
rnacentral:lncRNA from 1 species